GCGCGAAUACAGAUUAACGAGAGCCGUCGGAUUAGAAACCCGAGGGUUCAGAUGAGACUGAAGAGAGGAUGGACGUACCGUUGGCGAGCUCCUUCUCCUUGUUCUCGAGGGUGGGGGCGAAGUUGAGGGGGUUGAAGACGCUGCCGGGGUAGCCGCACUCGUGGGGCGGGAGGCUGUAGCUCUUGAAGAUGGGGUCCUGGUUGACGGAGCCCGGGUUCUUGAUGUCCUGCCACCGCCGGAUCUCGACGUAGUGGAAGAGGAUGAACUCGAUGACGAAGAGCGUGGAGGAGGAGGCGAAGUAGGUCUCCUUGCCGGCGUCGUACCACUCGGGCGCGUUCAGCAGCCCCGCCUUGGUCAGCACCUCCGGGAUCAGCAUCCCCGCCACCCCCAGCAUCGCCCACCGCCCGUUCACCAGCUCCGCCUGCACGAACCACCGCAGGUCCUCCGGGUCCUCCGCCAGCGCCAGCGGGUCAAAACCAUUGUCACCCGCCAGACUGCACACGUAUCGUCCGUCAGUACGGUCGUAAACAUAUGUAACAGCUGCGUGCAUGGGCACGACGGAAGUGGUGUGGCGUGUCGUGUGGUCUGCUCACCUGCCGUCGAGGUAGGCAGGGGACUGGAGGCCGGGGAGCCAGGACCCCUUGGCCUGGACGGCGACGUCGCGGCGGGUGGACUUGGCGAGCCCGACGCGGCCGGAGUCGCCCAGGAACCGGGGGCUCGACGCUGACGCCGCCGGCCGGAGAGCGGCCACGGGAGCGCGGGCACUGACCGACGACAUCUUCUGCUACUCCUGACUAGAGAGCGCGUACGGCAGGAGAGUGAGAGUGCGCGCGUGUGUGUGUGGUGGUUCUGCCUCUCCGCACCUGCGCUUGGCCCUUUGUAUUGGGCUGCGCUUCGGUGAUUUGUGGGUGUGGUGAGCUGGGCCCCGGAGGUCGAGAUGGACGGCGUGUGUUGGCGCCACCGCGUCGUCCGACGGCUGCGAUGCGUUUGCGCCUGGAGACUGGAUAGAUGGACCAGUGGGAGACCGGGAGGCGUAUGUGCGUUAUCUGGAUGAUGGAUAAUGCGGAAUCAAAAGGGGGAUCGCUAUUGGUCGGGGAAACGCACGUUCGGUUUACCUGGCUGCCACGUCGAUCGGACGAUCCGUCAUGAUGUACAGCUGUACAUGGUGCCAUGGCGGGUUGGUCUGUUUGCUUCAACUUUCGAGCUCUUCCACGGGAAACCGGCUUUCGCCCUAGAAAUGGCACGGAUGGUCGAACGGAUACAAGGUGAUGGAAAGAACCCCAUAGAAGGCGGUCGCGGCGAGCCGUCACGAUCCCGUAAUCGAACAAGAAAAUAAGAGUCGCCACACCUAACAUGAGGCGACCUAGACUAUUGAAUCGGAACUCAACCGUGCCGCCUAGGAAAAUCAUAGACCAUUAUGCAUAAAACACAUCAAGUUAUCGCCGGAGAAAGUAAGUGUCGAUCCAAUCCGUGGAGUUCCAAUCCUGCGAGCAGAUAGCGAGGACCAAUGACAUUGACUACGAGGACACGUGUAAAUGAUAGGGGAUCAACGGAUCCACUCCACGACGAAGCCGAAGGCACCGAUGUGCUGUAACUGGAUGAUAUUUGUGUUCCCCGACAAUGCCCCGAGGAGGGUAAUGAUGUAGAGCGUUGAUACGUCUCCAACGUAUUUAUGGUGUUUUUAUUGUGUCAUGCUAUUAUAUUAUCAAUUUCGGAUGCUUUAUAUGCUAUUUUAUAUCAUUUUUAAGAACUAACCUAUUAACCGAGUGUCCAGUGUCAGUUCCUAUUUUUUGCGUGUUUUGACUUCUCAGAAAAUCAAUAACAAACGAAGUUCAAACAUGAUGAAACUUUAUGAUGAUUCUUUCUGGACCAAAAAGGGACCCCUAGAAGGUUCGGGAGGAGGCCAGAAGACGUAGGGAGAGCCACAAGCUCACAGGGUGCGCCCCCCCCCCCCCGGGGGNNNNNNNNNNNNNNNNNNNNNNNNNNNNNNNNNNNNNNNNNNNNNNNNNNNNNNNNNNNNNNNNNNNNNNNNNNNNNNNNNNNNNNNNNNNNNNNNNNNNGACGUCUAACUUGUUUUUGCAGGGUAUGAUUGUGAUGUGAUAUGGCCAAUGAUGUGAUGUGAUAUAUUGGAUGUAUGAGAUGAUCAUGUUGUAAUAGAAAUAUCGACUUGCACGUCGAUGGUACGGCAACCGGCAGGAGCCAUAGGGUUGUCUUUAUACUAACGUUUGUGCUUGCAGAUGCGUUUACUAUUUUGCUAGGAUGUAGCUUUAGUAGUAAUAGCAUAAGUAGCACGACAACCCCGAUGUCAACAUGUUGAUGGAUGAUCAUGGUGUGGCGCCGGUGACAAGAAGAUCGUGCCGGUGCUUUGGUGAUGGAGAUCAAGNNNNNNNNNNCUUGCAGAUGCGUUUACUAUAUUGCUAGGACGUAGCUUUAGUAGUAAUAGCAUGCGUAGCACGACAACCCCGAUGGCGACACGUUGAUGGAGAUCAUGAUGAUGGAGAUCAUGGUGUGACGCCGGUGACAAGAAGAUCGUGCCGGUGCUUUGGUGAUGGAGAUCAAGAAGCACGUGAUGAUGGCCAUAUCAUGUCACUUAUGAAUUGCAUGUGAUGUUAAUCCUUUUUGCACCUUAUCUUUCUUAGAACGACGGUAGCAUUAUGAGGUGAUCUCUCACUAAAAUUUCAAGACGAAAUUGUGUUCUCCCCGACUGUGCACCGUUGCGACAGUUCUUCGUUUCGAGACACCAGGUGAUGAUCGGGUGUGAUAGACUCAACGUUCACAUACAACGGGUGCAANNNNNNNNNNUGAAAUUGUGUUCUCCCCGACUGUGCACCGUUGCUACAGUUCGUCAUUUCGAGACACCACGUGAUGAUCGGUGUGAUAGACUCAACGUUCACAUACGACGGGUGCAAAACAGUUGCGCACGCGGAACACUCGGGUUAAGCUUGACGAGCCUAGCAUGUGCAGACAUGGCCUCGGAACACAUGAGACCGAAAGGUCGAUCAUGAAUCAUAUAGAUGAUGUGAUUAGCAUAGGGAUGCUUACCACUGAAACUAUACUCAACUCACGUGAUGAUCGGACUUGAGAUAGUGUAGGUGGAUCAUGAACCACUCAAAUGACUAGAGAGAUGUAAUUUUUGAGUGGGAGUUUAGCAGAUAAUUUGAUUAAGUUGAACUCUAAUUAUCUUCAACAUAGUCUAAGUCCACUUUGAAUAUAUUUGUGUUGUAGAUCAUGGCUGACGCAAGUGUCAUCCUGAAUUUUAAUACGUUCCUAGAGAAAGCUAAGUUGAAAGAUGAUGGAAGCAACUUUGUAGACUGGGCUCGUAAUCUUAAGCUAAUCUUACAAGCUGGGAAGAAGGAUUAUGUCCUUGAUGCUGCGCUAGGAGAUGAACCACCCGCUACGGCUGAUCAGGAUGUUAAGAACGCUUGGUUAGCGCGUAAGGAGGACUACUCAAUAGUUCAAUGUGCAGUCUUGUAUGGCUUAGAACCGGGACUUCAACGUCGCUUUGAGCGUCAUGGAGCAUUUGAGAUGUUCCAGGUGUUGAAGUUUAUCUUUCAGAAGAACGCCUGGAUCGAGAGGUAUGAGACCUCCGAUAAAUUCUAUGCUUGCAAGAUGGAGGAAAACUCGUCUGUCAGUGAACAUGUGCUCAAAAUGUCUGGGUACUCAAACCGUCUAGCUGAGCAGGGGAUUGAACUCCCGCAAGAGGCUAUCACUGACAGAAUCCUUCAAUCACUGCCACCAAGCUACAAAGGCUUUGUGUUGAACUACAACAUGCAAGGGAUGAACAAGUCACCCGGCGAGUUGUUUGCGAUGUUGAAAGUCGCAGAGUCUGAACUCCGUAAAGAGCAUCAAGUGUUGAUGGUGAAUAAGACCACUAGUUUCAAGAGAAACGGCAAAGGCAAGAAGGGUAAUUCAAAGAAGAGACUUGCCGGUAAACGAGAUUGAAAUAGGUAUGCGGAUACUGACGAUCGAAUCUCGGGCAAGUAACAUACCGAAGGACAAAGGGAAUGACAUACGGGAUUAUANNNNNNNNNNNNNNNNNNNNNNNNNNNNNNNNNNNNNNNNNNNNNNNNNNNNNNNNNNNNNNNNNNNNNNNNNNNNNNNNNNNNNNNNNNNNNNNNNNNNUGUGUGUGUGUGUGUGUGCACACUUGUGAUAGUGCAAGUGAUGUGUGUAUGUGUUUAUGUGGCUUAGUUGAAAAGUGGCUCAUGUGAUCUUGCUAGUGUGUUUGGGUGUGUAGUACUUGCAAAGUAUGUGCAUUGUGGAAUAGGUGAGAUGUGUGUGUUGAGGUGAUGUGUGUGUAAGUAGUGCACACAUAUGUGGUACCUAGCAGGAGUGUAUGUAUGUGUGGAUCCAUGUUUACUUGCAUAGCAGUUGUUCCUUCAUGUUGUGCUUGAGAUUAAGUGCUUGUGAUGAGGGUAUUGUGAUGAUAUGUGUGUGGUGAUAACAGCCCCAUUUUCAACACUUGUGCACCUCCUCAUGUUCAUAUGAGAGAGGACAUGAUGUGUGUGUGUGUGAGGGUGAUCUAGUGAAAGUUGUGCUAGUGGUGUUGANNNNNNNNNNGCAACACUUGUGCACCUCCUCAUGUUGAUAUGAGAGAGGGCAUGAUGUGUGUGUGUGAGGGUGAUCUAGUGAAAGUUGUGCUAGUGGUGUUGAUAUGCAUAACACAUACAUGGGGUUCAAACCCCCAUGUCACUUUUUCAUUGUGCACAUGAGCUCAACCUUUGUAGUUGUUGACUUAGUAGGAACUACAUGAAAUGAUGCCCAUUCCCUAGGCAUGAUUUGGAGUAGUUUCCUCUCCCUUAUUUUGUGGUCACUUGUUCCAAGUAAGUGCCCACAUAUUAUAUAUGAUUUUGGGGUAGAAUCUCCCAAGGAAUCCAGUGGUGAAGUUAGUUUUUCCAUUACGAUACUUUAUGGAGUUGACAUAUUCAGAUUUGUUGCAAGUUUGAUCUUUGAUUCCAUGGAAUAGGUGGAGCCCAAGGGCANNNNNNNNNNGCCAUUAGGAUAAUUUCUGGAGUUGACAUAUUCAGAUUUAUUGCAAGUUUGAUCUUUGAUUCCAUGGAAUAGGUGGAGCCCAAGGGCAUGAGUUUUUGUGUGAUAGUAGUAGGGUUUUGCUCUACACCAUAGUGGUGUCAUAUAUCACUUGGUGUUACUUGUGUGCAAACUAUGCCUAGACAAAGUGGGCAUGUGGUUGAAAAUUCCAGUUUAGUGAAAUCUGGAAUUUCACUAAGUCUGGGAUUCUGGAAACAUUUUCUUCUCUUAUAGAUGAGGAUGUGCUGGUCAUUGUGUUGAGAUCUAGCCUUAGUUCAGUGCUAGGAUUUUGGACCUGAUAUGUUUUUUAAGUUCCCUGUCAAAUUUCAAAUCAUUUGGAGUCUAGUAGGUUGUGUUUUGAUUGCUGUCAAAAAGCUUCAGAACAAAGACAGNNNNNNNNNNAUAGCCUUAGUUCAGUGCUAGGAUUUUGGACCUGAUAUGUUUGUGAUGCUUCCUGUCAAAUUUCAAAUCAUUUCGAGUCCAGUAGGUUGUGUUUUGAUUGCUGUCAAAAAGCUUCAGAACAAAGACAGAAAUUCAGGUGCAGGAAUUUUCACCAAGUCCCUGAGAUCUGAUGGUUUUGGGGAAGUUUGUGGCCUUGUAUAUUAAUUCCUUUUGCUGUGAUUCUUGCUGGUGCUUGUAGGGUUCUUAGUGGGCUACAGCCACAUAUAUUAUUUGACAUAUUUGGUGGCCUGUAGCUAUGUUGCAUGUAGCUCACAAAGUGCUAAGAUGCAGUUUAUGGCAGAUUAUGUAGUUUUGUCAUUUCUAUGAUUGUGUGUGCUUAGUGGAUGUGGUGGUGCUCUUACUUGCUCCAAUCCAUUCAUGUGGGAGUGGUACAUGUCUUGGCAACCUGNNNNNNNNNNUAUGCAGUUUAUGGCAGAUUAUGUAGUUUUGUCAUUUUGAUGAUUGUGUGUGCUUAGUGGAUGUGGUGGUGCUCUUCCUUGCUCCAAUCCAUUCAUGUGGGAGUGGUACAUGUCUUGGCAACCUGGGAAUACCAGAUUUGUGCCAAUUGUGAGUGUGGUGUUGAUUCUUACACGUAGAGCUUCAUAUCUUGUUUCGUUGAUUCCCGUUGAACCGUAGCUCCGUUCGCAAUGUUCUUUAUAUGUUUUUGCAUAGUUUUCACGAGACGCAUCUCUUCAUGCCAUUCUCAUGCAUGUAAAAAUAUCCUAGUUUACAGUUCUGUCCAGAAACUUAUAGUAGUUCUUUUGCUUGUGCUAGUGAUAGAAAUAGUGAUGCAUGCUCAUUUUUCANNNNNNNNNNACAAUGUUCUUUAUAUGUUUUUGCAUCGUUUUCACGAGACGCAUCUCUUCAUGCCAUUCUCAUGCAUGUCGAAAUAGCCUAGUGUAAAGUUCUGUCCAGAAACUUAUAGUAGUUCCUUUUGCUUGUGCUAGUGAUAGAAAUAGUGAUGCAUGCUCAUUUUUCAUCUCAUGCAUCAUGUGAUUGUUGCAUCUUGUNNNNNNNNNNNNNNNNNNNNNNNNNNNNNNNNNNNNNNNNNNNNNNNNNNNNNNNNNNNNNNNNNNNNNNNNNNNNNNNNNNNNNNNNNNNNNNNNNNNNGAACAACAUUCGGUAACCAACCAUAUAACUCAAAUACGCAUAAAACAAUGUCGAACCUUAAGUGUGCAGACCCUACGGGUUCAGGAACUAUGUAGACAUCACCCGAGAGACUCCUCGGUCAAUAUCCAAUAGCGGGACCUGGAUGCCCAUAUUGGAUCCUACAUAUUCUACGAAGAUUUUAUCGUUUGAACAUCAGUGCCAAGGAUUCAUAUAAUCCCGUAUGUCAUUCCCUUUGUCCUUCGGUAUGUUACUUGCCCGAGAUUCGAUCAUCAGUAUCCGCAUACCUAUUUCAAUCUCAUUUGCCGGCAAGUCUCUUUACUCGUUCCGUAAUACAAGAUCCGCAACUUACACUAAGUCACAUUACUUGCAAGGCUUGUGUAUGAUGUUGUAUUACCGAGUGGGCCCCGAGAUACCUCUCCGUCACACGGAGUGACAAAUCCCAGUCUCGAUCCAUACUAACUCAACUAACACCUUCGGAGAUACCUGUAGAGCAUCUUUAUAGUCACCCAGUUACNNNNNNNNNNNNNNNNNNNNNNNNNNNNNNNNNNNNNNNNNNNNNNNNNNNNNNNNNNNNNNNNNNNNNNNNNNNNNNNNNNNNNNNNNNNNNNNNNNNNGUAGACCGAUAAUUUCUGCAUCUACUACUAUUACUCCACACGUCGACCGCUAUCCAGCAUGCAUCUAGUGUUUUGAGUUCAUGACGAACAGAGUAACGCCUUAAGAAAGAUGACAUGAUGUAGAGGGAUAAUCUCAAACCAAUGAUGAAAACCCCAUCUUUUUACCCUUGAUGGCAACAACACGAUACGUGCCUCGCUACCCCUUCUAUCACUUGGUGAGGUCACCGCACGGUAUGAACCCAAAACCAAGCAAUUCUCCCAUUGCAAGAAUCAUAGAUCUAGUUGGCCAAACAAAACCCACAACUCGAAGUGAAUUACAAGGAUAUGCAAUCAUGCAUAAGAGAGAUCAGAAGAAACUCAAAUAAGAUUCAUAGAUAAUCUGAUCAUAAAUCCACAAUUCAUCGGAUCUCGACAAACACACCGCAAAAGAAGAUUACAUCGGAUAGAUCUCCAUGAAGAUCAUGGAGAACUUUGUAUUGAAGAUCCAAGAGAGAGAAGAAGCCAUCUAGCUACUAGCUAUGGACCCGUAGGUCUGUGGUGAACUACUCACGCAUCAUCGGAGAGGUCAUGGUGUUGAUGAAGAAGCCCUCCGUAUCCGAAUCCCCCCUCGGUAGGGCACCAGAAUGUGCCCCAGAUGGGAUCUUGCGGAGACAGAAGCUUGCGGCGGCGGAAAAGUACUUUUGAUGAUCUCCUGAUUUUUUCUGGGAUUUUAGGUAAUUUAUAGGCGAAAGACCUAGGGAAGAGGUGGCCCAGGGAGCCCACAAGCCUGGGAGGCGCGGGCCCCCCUGGCCGCGGCUAGGGGGCUUGUGGGGUCCCUGCUGCCCCCCUGCCCAGAUUCUCAGGCUUCUUGAUCUUCUUAUAUUUCGGAAAAAAUCUUUUUGGCAGUUUCGUUCCGUUUGGACUCCGUUUAAAAUCCUCCUCUGAAAAGGGUCAAAAACAUGGAAAAAACAGGAACUGGCACUUGUCACUGAGUUAAUAAGUUAGUCCCAAAAAAUAUAUAAAAGGCAUACAAAACAUCCAAAGUUUGACAAGAUAAUAGCAUGAAACCAUCAAAAAUUAUAGAUACGUUGGAGAUGUAUUAACCUACGAGGUUUGUAGUAACUUGAUCCGAAGCUCUAAUGAUCACUAUCAUCAGCUUCCACUUCAAUUGGUGUAGGCGUCACAGGAACAACUUCCUGCGCCCUGCUACACACUGGUUGAAGUGACGGUUCAAUAACCUCAUCAAGUUCCACCAGUCUCCCACCCAAUUCUUUGGAGAGAAACCUUUCCUCGAGAAAGGAUCCGUUUCUAGAAACAAACACUUUGCUUCCGGAUCUGAGAUAGGAGAUGUAUCCAACUGUUUUGGAUAUCCUAUGAAGAUGCAUUUAUCCGCUUUGGGAUCGAGCUUAUUAGACUGAAACCUUUUCACAUAAGCAUCGCAACCCCAAACUUUCAAGAAACGACAGCUUAGGUUUCUCUAAACCAUAGUCUAUGGCGUGUCAUCUCAACGGAAGUAUGCGGUGCCCUAUUUAAAGUGAAUGUGGUUGUCUCUAAUGCAUAACCCAUAAACGAUAGUGGUAAUUCGAUAAGAGACAUCAUAGUAUGCACCAUAUCAUAAUAGGGUGUGGCUAUGACGUUCACACACAUCAUCACACUAUGGUGUUCCAGGUGGCAUGAACUGCGAAACAAUUUUCACAUUGUCUUAACUGCGUACCAAAAACUCGCAACUCAGAUAUUCAUCUCUAUGAUCAUAUCGUAGACAGUUUAUCCACUUGUCACAACGAUCUUCACUCUGAAAUAGCUUUGAACUUUUCAAUAUUUCAGACUUGUGAUUCAUCAAGUAAAUACUCGUGUAUCUACUCAAAUCGUCAGUGAAGUAAGAACAUAACGAUAUCCACUGCGUGCCUCAGCACUCAUUGGACUGCACACAUCAAAAAUGUAUUACUCCCAACAAGUUACUCUCUUGUUUCAUGUAGCAUGAUCUGCAUGUCUCAAGUGAUUCAAAAUCAAGUGAGCCCAAACGGUCCAUCCGCAUGGAGUUUCUUCAUGCGUUUAUACCAACAAGUAUGGUUUGCAUGUUUCAAUCGUUUCAAAAAAUGAGUGAGUACAAAGAUCCAUCAGCAUGGAGCUUCUUCAUGCAUUUUAUACCAACAUGACUCAAGUGGCAGUGCUACAACUAAGUGGUACUAUCAUUAUAACUUUGUAUCUUUUGGCACCAAUAUUAUGAACAUGUGUAACACUAUGAUCGAGAUUCAAUAAACCAUUGAGGGUAAUUAUUCAAGCAAAUAGAAUAACUAUUAUUCUCUUUAAUUGAAUAAUUGUAUUGCAAUGAACACGAUCCAAUCAUGUUCAUGAUUAACGCAAUCACCAAAUAACAAUUAUUUAAGUUUUACCACCAAUCUGGAUGAUAGAGGGAGCGUGCGAUGUUUGAUCACAUCAACCUUGGAAACACUUCCAACACGUAUUGUCACCUCGCCUUUAGCUAGUCUCCGUUUAUACCGUAGCUUUCAUUUCGAGUUACUAAUCACUUAGCAACCGAACCGGUAUCGAAUACCCUCGUGCUACUAGGAGUAAAGUACACAUCAAUAUCAUGCAUAUCAAAUAUACUUCUGUCGACUUUGCCAGCCUUCUUAUCUACCAAGUAUCUAGGGUAGCUCCGCCUCACUGACCGUUCCCCUCAUAACAGAAGCACUCAGUCUCGGGUUUGGGUUCAAUUUUGGGUUUCUUCAUUAGAGCAGCAACUUGUUUGCCGUUUCAUGAAGUAUCCCUUCAAGCCCUUACCCUUCUUGAAACUAGUGGUUUUACUAAGCAUCAACAAUUGAUGCUCCUUCUUGAUUUCUACUUUCACAGUGUCAAACAUUGCAAAUCACUCAAGGAUCAUCAUAUCUAUCCUUGAUUUGUUUAUAGUUCAUCACGAAGCUCUAGCAGCUUAGUCGCAGUGACUUUGGAGAACCAUCACUAUCUCAUCUGGAAGAUUAACUCCCACUUGAUUCAAGCGAUUGUUGUACUGAGACAAUCUGAGAACAUGCUCAACGAUUUGAGCUUUUCUCCUUUACUUUGUAGGCAAAGAAUCUUGUCGGAGGUCUUAUAUCUCUCAACAAGGGCACGAGCAUGAAAUCUCAAUUUCAUCUCUUUGAACAUCUCUUAUGUUCUGCGAUGUUUUCAAAACGUCUUCAGUGCCUUGCUUCUAAGCCAUUAAGUAUUGCGCACUGAACUAUUAUGUAGUCAUCAAAGACGUGUAUGUCAGAUGUUUGCAGCAUCCACAAACAACACCUGAGGUGCAGCACACCAAGUGGUGCAUUAAGGACAUAAGACUUCUGCGCAACAAUGAGGACAAUACUCAGUUUUACGGACUGAGUCCGCAAAGUUGCUACUAUCAACUUUGAACUAAAUUUUCUCUAGGAACAUAUAAAAACAGUAGAGCUAUAGCGCAAGCUACAUCGUAAUUUGCAAAUACCAUUGGACUAUGUUCAUGAUAAUUAGUUCAAUUAAUCAUAUUACUUAAGAACUCCCACUCAAAAAGUACAUCUCUCUAGUCAUUUGAGUGGUACAUGAUCCGAAUCCACUAUCUCAAGUCCGAUCAUCACGUGAGUCGAGAAUAGUUUCAGUGGCAAGCAUCUCUAUGCUAAUCAUAUCAACUAUACGAUUCAUGCUCGACCUUUCGGUCUCUUGUGUUCCGGGGCCAUGUCUGCACAUGCUAGGCUCGUCAAGUUUUACCCGAGUGUUCCGCGUGUGCAACUGUUUUGCACCCGUUGUAUGUGAACGUUGAGUCUAUCACACCCGAUCAUCACGUGGUGUCUCGAAUCAACAAACUGUAGCAACGGUGCAGAGUCGGGGAGAACACAAUUUCGUCUUGAAAUUUUAGUGAGAGAUCACCACAUAAUGCUAUCGUCGUUCUAAGCAAAAUAAGGUGCAUAAAAGGAUUAACAUCACAUGCAAUUCAUAAGUGAAUGAUAUGGCCAUCAUCACGUGCUUCUUUAUCUCCAUCACCAAAGCAUCGACAUGAUCUUCUUGUCACCGGUGCCACACCAUGAUCUCCAUCAACGUGUCGCCAUCGGGGUUGUCGUGCUACUUAUGCUAUUACUACUAAAGCUACGUCCUAGCAAUAUACUAAACGCAUCUGCAAACACAAACGUUAGUUUAAAGACAACCCUAUGGCUCCUGCGGGUUGCCGUACCAUCGACGUGCAAGUCGAUAUUAACUAUUACAACAUGAUCAUCUCAUACAUCCAAUAUAUCACAUCACGUCAUUGGCCAUAUCAUAUCACAAGCAUAUCCUUCGAAAACAAGUUAGACGUCCUCUAAUUGUUGUUGAAUGUUUUACGUGGUUUCAAUGGGUAUCUAGUAGAUCGCAUCUUACUUACGCAAAAACCACAACGCAGAUGUGCAAAUUGCUAUUUAUCCUCUCCAGGGACCGCCUCGGUCAAAACCAAUUCAACUAAAGUUGAAGAAACCGACACCCGCCAGUCAUCUUUAUGCAACGAGGUUGCAUGUCAAUCGAUGAAACUAGUCUUUUGUAAGCAUACGAAUAAUGUCGGUCCGGGCCGCUUCAAUCCAAAAAUACCGCCAAAUUGAGAAAAGACUCAGGAGGGCAGCAAAUCGAACAUCACCGUCCAGAAAACCCUUUGUGUUCUACUCGAGAUUACAUCUACGCAUGAACCUAGCUCAUGAUGCCUAUGUUGGGGAACGUCGCAUGGGAAACAAAAAAUUUCCUACGCGCACGAAGACCUACCGUGGUGAUGUCCAUCUACGAGAGGAGAUUUGGAUCUACGUACCCUUAAAGAUCGCACAGCAGGAAGCGUUAAGAAACGCGGUUGAUGUAGUGGAACGUCCUCACGUCCCUCGAUCCGCCCCNNNNNNNNNNUCCGUCCCACGAUCCGCUCCGAUCUAGUGCCGAACGGACGGCACCUCCAUGUUCAGCACACGUACAGCUCGACGAUGAUCUCGGCCUUCUUGAUCCAGAAAGUAAGACGAAGAAGUAGAUGAGUUCUCCGGCAGCGUGAAGGCGCUUCGGUGGUGGUUGCUACGACAACAAAAGUUCUUCCCCGGCAAUGGCGCCAGAAAUCCUUCUUGCUACUUCUCAAACAACAACGCCAAAAUUGACACGUUGACGGAGACUUGCUUGCGUCGGUUUUUGCCUUGAAGAGGAAAGGGUGAUGCAGCACAGGAGCAGUAAGUAUUUCCCUCAGUUUGAGAACCAAGGUAUCAAUCCAGUAGGAGAAUCUCGUCAAGUCCAGAGUACCUCCACAAACAUAAAGAUCUUGCACCCAAUGCUAUAAAGGGGUUGUCAAUCCCUUCAAGAUUGAUUGCAAAGUGAGAUUUGAAGGCGGAAAGUGCAACGAAGUAAAAUUGUAAGGCUAAAAAUAUGGUGUGGAGUAGACCCCGGGGCCAUAGUGUUCACUAGAGGCUUCUCUCAAAAUAGCAAAUAUUACAGUGGGUGAACAAAUUACUGUCGAGAAAUUGAUAGAACCGCGCAAAGUCAUGACGAUAUCUAAGGCAAUGAUCAUACAUAUAGGCAUCACGUCCGAGACAACUAGACCGAUACUUUCUGCAUCUACUACUAUUACUCCACACAUCGACCGCUAUCCAGCAUGCAUCUAGUGUAUUGAGUUCAUGACGAACAGAGUAACGCCUUAAGCAAGAUGACAUGAUGUAGAGGGAUAAUCUCAAACCAAUGAUGAGAACCCCAUCUUUUUACCCUCGAUGGCAACAACACGAUGCGUGCCUCGCUACCCCUUCUGUCACUGGGUGAGGUCACCACACGGUAUGAACCCAAAACCAAGCACUUCUCCCAUUGCAAGAAUCAUCGAUCUAGUUGGCCAAACAAAACCCACAACUCGAAGAGAAUUACAAGGAUAUGAAAUCAUGCAUAAGAGAGAUCGGAAGAAACUCAAAUAAGACUCAUAGAUAAUCUGAUCAUAAAUCCACAAUUGAUCGAAUGUCGACAAACACACCGCAAAAGAAGAUUACAUCGGAUAGAUCUCCAUGANNNNNNNNNNNNNNNNNNNNNNNNNNNNNNNNNNNNNNNNNNNNNNNNNNNNNNNNNNNNNNNNNNNNNNNNNNNNNNNNNNNNNNNNNNNNNNNNNNNNNNNNNNNNNNNNNNNNNNNNNNNNNNNNNNNNNNNNNNNNNNNNNAUACUAGCUAUGGACCCGUAGGUCUAUGGUGAACUACUCACGCAUCAUCGGAGAGGUCAUGGUGUUGCUGAAGAAGCCCUCUGUAUCCGAAUCCCCCCUCCGACAGGGCACCGGAACGUGCCCCAGAUGGGAUCUUGUAGAGACAGAAGCUUGCGGCGGCGGAAAAGUACUUUCGAUGAUCUCCUGAUUUUUUUCUGGGAUUUUAGGGAAUUUAUAGGCGAAAGUCCUAGGGCAGAGCUGGCCCAAGGAGCCCACAAGCCUGGGAGGCGCGGGCCCCCUGGUCGCGGCUAGGGGGCUUGUGGGGUCCCUGCAGCCCCCCUGCCCUGAUUCUCAGGUUUCCCGAUCUUCUUCUGUUUCAGAAAAAAUCUUUUUGACAGUUUCAUUCCGUUUGGACUCCGUUUAAAAUCCUCCUUUGAAAGGGGUCAAAAACAUGGGGAAAUAGGAACUGGCACUGAGUUAAUAAGUUAGUCCCAAAAAGUAUAUAAAAGGCAUGCAAAACAUCCAAAGUUUGACAAGAUAAUAGCAUGAAACCAUAAAAAUUAUAGAUACAUUGGAUACGUAUCAAGCAUCCCCAAGCUUAACUCCUGCUCGUCCUAAAGUAGGGAAGUGAUAAAGAAUUAAAUUUUGAUGUGGAAUGCUACCUAGCAUAGUUGUCCUUUGCAACUUCUUUCAUGUGACAUGAGUGUUCAGAUCCGUGAGAUUGAAAACAAUAGUUUGCUAUUGACAUGAAAACAAUAAUACUUCAAGCAAACUAGCAAGGUAAUCAUGAACUUUAAAAAUAACAAGGCCAAGGAAAGUUAUCCCUACAAAAUUAUAUAGUCUGGCUAUGCUCCAUCAUCCUCACACAACUAAUGUAAAUCAUGCACAACCCCGGUAUUGGCCAAGAAAUAGUUUUCGCACUCUUACUUUCUCAAACUUUUUAUAACUAUCAUGCAAUACAUGAGCGUGAGCCAUGGAUAUAGCACUAUAAUUGGAAUAGAGUGUGGUGGUGGUUGUGAGACAAAAAGGAGAAGAUGGUCACAUUGACUCUGCGUAUCAAAGGGCUAUGGAGAUACCCAUUAAUAGAUAUCAAUGUGAAUGAGUAGGGAUUGCCAUACAAAGGAUGCACUAGAGCUAUAAGUAUGUGAAAGCUCAAAAGGAAAACUAGUGGGUGUGCAUCCAACUUGCUUUCUCACGAAGACCUAGGGCAAUUUUGAGGAAACCCAUCAUUGGAAUAUACAAGCCAAGUUAUAUAGUGAAGAUUCCAACUAGCAUAUGGUGGUGACGAAACGAGAGGCUCUCAAUCAUGAAGAACAUGGUGCUAUUAUGAAGCACAAGUGUGGAAAAAGAUAGUAGCAUUGUCCCUUCUCUCUUUUCUCUCUUCUUCUUUUUUAUUUGGGCUCUUAGGCCUCUUUUUCUCUUUUUUUGGGCUCUUUGGCCUCUUUUUUUAUUUUAUUUCCUCACAUGGGACAAUGCUCUAAUAAUGAUGAUCAUCACACUUUUAUUUACUCACAGCUCAAAGCUUAGAAAUGACUUCUAUAGGAAAUGCCUCCGGCAGUGUACCGGGAUGUGCAACGAUCUAGCUUGGCGUAUGACGUUGAAACAUAUCGCUAGCUAUCUUGCGAUCAUGCAAUGGAAAUAUGAGAGUGACGGCACAAGUCAUGAGACGGAACGGUGGGAGUUGCAUGUCAAUAUAUCUCGGAAUGGCUACGAAAAUGCCAUAGUAGGUAGAUAUGGUGGUUGUUUUGAGGAAGGCAUUUGGUGGGUUUGUGUACCGGCGAGAAUUGCACGGCACUAGAGAGGCUAGCAAUGGUGAAAGGUGGAAGUGCAUCUAUACCAUGGACUCACAUUAGUCAUGAAGAACUCACAUACAUGUUGCGAAAUUUUUUAUUAGUAAUCGAAACAAAGUGCUAAACGCAUACUCCUAGGGGAAGGGUUGGUAGGUGUUAACCAUCGCACGAACCCGACCUCAACACAAAGGAUGACAAUCAAUAGAUCAAUUAUGCUUCGACUUCCUAACAUAGCGGUUCACCAUACGUGCAUGCUACGGGAAUCACUAACUUUAACACAAGUAUUUCUAGAUUCACAAUACCCUACUAACAUAACUCUUAAUAUUACCAAAUCCACGCCUCCAAACUAAUUGAGAGGAAUCAAAACUUCUCUUUCUACUCAAUGCACAUGAAUAUGGAGGUUUUUGUAUCCUCUUUGGGUACCUAUCACCUUUGGGACUACUUUCAUAGCAUAAGCCAACUACCAAAUCACGCACCGCCGUGCUCUAACAGAUCUAAGUGAAGCACAUAUAGCAAAAUUGUCUAGCUGAAAAGAUAUAAGUGAAGCACAAUGAGCAUUCUAGCAAAAUCACGGUGAGUUCAUGUCUAUCUCUAAAGGUGUGCAUCAAGGAUGAUUGUGACACAACAAAAAGAAAAUAAUCCUAAGAUACAAGACACUCCAAGCAAAACACAUAUCAUGUGGUGAAUAAAAAUAUAGCUCCAAGUAAUGUUACCGAUGGAUUGAAGACGAAAGAGGGGAUGCCUUCCCGGGGCAUNNNNNNNNNNNNNNNNNNNNNNNNNNNNNNNNNNNNNNNNNNNNNNNNNNNNNNNNNNNNNNNNNNNNNNNNNNNNNNNNNNNNNNNNNNNNNNNNNNNNGGAUGCCUUUGCGGCCUGUGUUCGUUUAUGAUGGACUAGUUGGAGCACCCCUGCAGGGUUUAAUCUUUCAGAAAGCCGUGCCCACGGUUAUGUGGCAACUUGGAAUAUUUUGUUAACAUCCGGUAUUAGAGAACUUGAACAUAAGCUAAUAAAAUUGCCAACUGUGUGCGUAUCCGUGUCUGUCCCCUCGAAGAUCCCUCUUCGAUCGGGAACACGGUGGGGUUAUGAAUGCCGUAGGUAGGUGGUCAGGAUCACUUAGUGAUCAAGUAUUCCCGACCGCUAGUGUAGACCACCUUCACAAUUACUUCGCGUAAGUUAGCCACUUAAUCAAGCUUAGGAUGCUGCAGCCUUAUACACUUCACCCUUACCCUACCUAAUAACAUGACUAGUUCUGGCACCAAGGUCUUAGAUUGCUGAGUCCCCGUGGCUCACGGAUUCCUCCGAAACUCCCAGCAGGUACAGGUACCCCAGAUAUAGAUGAUCCCGACGGCACCCAGCUGGCGUGGCAGUACGACGAGGAGACAGACCGCCUCUACGUGACCUAUCCAGGGGACUGAGGCGUGGUCGUGAUCGUGGGCCUGCAGGCAGGGUAGCAUAGCAUUUCCAUGUUUUGUAGUCCGUAGCGGAACUACNNNNNNNNNNNNNNNNNNNNNNNNNNNNNNNNNNNNNNNNNNNNNNNNNNNNNNNNNNNNNNNNNNNNNNNNNNNNNNNNNNNNNNNNNNNNNNNNNNNNAAAAAAAAGAGCAGGUGGGAAAAGGGGGAAGGACUCCUCCUUCCAAACCUAAUUGGACUCGGUUUGGAAGGGGAGGGUUGCCCCCCUUGGCUCGGCCGCCCCCUUGGGAGUCCUUGGACCCCAAGGCAAGGCUCCCCCUCCUCCCCCUAUAUAUACGCAGGUUUUAGGGCUGAUUUGAGACAACUUUGCCACGACAGCCCGACCACAUAUCUCCACGGUUUCACCUCUAGAUCGCGUUUCUGCGGAGCUCGGGCGGAGCCCUGUGAGAUAAGAUCACCACCAACCUCCGUAGCUCCGUCACGCUGGCGGAGAACUCAUCUACCUCUCCAUCACUCUUGCUGGAUCNNNNNNNNNNAGUUUCACCUCUAGAUCGCGUUUCUGCGGAGCUCGGGCGGAGCCCUGCUGAGAUAAGAUCACCACCAACCUCCGGAGCGCCAUCACGCUGGCGGAGAACUCAUCUACCUCUCCAUCACUCUUGCUGGAUCAAGAAGGCCGAGAUCAUCGUCGAGCUGUACGUGUGCUGAACGCGGAGGUGCCGUCCGUUCGGCACUAGAUCGUGGGACUGAUCGCGGGACGGUUCGCGGGGCGGAUCGAGGGACAUGAGGACGUUCCACUACAUCAACUGUGUUCACUAAUGCUUCUGCUGUGCGGUCUACAAGGGUACCUAGAUCGAACAUCCCCUCUCGUAGAUGGACAUCACCAUGAUAGGUCUUCGUGCGCGUAGGAAAUUUUUUGUUUCCCACGCGACGUUCCCCAACAGUGGCACCAUGAGCUAGGUUCAUGCGUAGAUGUCUUCUCGAGUAGAACACAAAAGUUUUUGUGGGCGGUGAUGUGCGUUUUGCUGCCCUCCUUAGUCUUUUCUUGAUUCCGCGGUAUUGUUGGAUUGAAGCGGCUUGGACCGACAUUACUCGUACGCUUACGAGAGACUGGUUUCAUCGUUACGAGUAACCCCCUUUGCUCAAAGAUGACUGGCAAGUGACGGUUUCUCCAACUUUAGUUGAAUCNNNNNNNNNNNNNNNNNNNNNNNNNNNNNNNNNNNNNNNNNNNNNNNNNNNNNNNNNNNNNNNNNNNNNNNNNNNNNNNNNNNNNNNNNNNNNNNNNNNNUGGGAUCUUGUAUUACGGAACGAGUAAAGAGACUUGCUGGUAAACGAGAUUGAAAUAGGUAUGCGGAUACUGACGAUUGAAUCUCGGGCAAGUAACGUACCGAAGGACAAAGGGAAUGACAUACGGGAUUAUACGAAUCCUUGGCACUGAGGUUCAAACGAUAAGACCUUCGUAGAAUAUGUAGGAUCCAAUAUGGGCAUCCAGGUCCCGCUGUUGGAUAUUGACCGAGGAGUCUCUCGGGUCAUGUCUACAUAGUUCUCGNNNNNNNNNNNNNNNNNNNNNNNNNNNNNNNNNNNNNNNNNNNNNNNNNNNNNNNNNNNNNNNNNNNNNNNNNNNNNNNNNNNNNNUGGGUCAUGUCUACAUAGUUCUCGAACCCGCAGGGUCUACACACUUAAGGUUCGACGUUGUUUUAUGCGUAUUAGAGUUAUAUGGUUGGUUACCGAAUGUUGUUCGGAGUCCCGGAUGAGAUCACGGACGUCACGAGGGUUUCCGGAAUGGUCCGGAAACGAAGAUUGAUAUAUAGGAUGACCUCAUUUGAUUACCGGAAGGUUUUCGGAGUAACCGGGAAUGUACCGGGAAUGACGAAUGGGUUCCGAAGUUCACCGGGGGGGCAACCCACCCCGGGGAAGCCCAUAGGCCUUGAGGGAGGCACACCAGCCCUUAGUGGGCUGGUGGGACAGCCCAAAAGAGCCCUAUGCGCCAUAGAGAUAAAAAUCAAAGAGAAAGAAAAAAAAAGGGAGGUGGGAAGGAAGGGAAGGACUCCCUCCCACCAAACCAAGUCCAACUCGGUUUCGGGGGGGAGUCUUCCCCCCUUGGACUCGGCCGACCCCCUUGGGGCUCCUUGAGCCCCAAGGCAAGGUCCCCUCCCUCCCACCUAUAUAUACGGAGGUUUUAGGGCUGAUUUGAGACGACUUUUCCACGGCAGCCCGACCACAUACCUCCACGGUUUUUCCUCUAGAUCGCGUUUCUGCGGANNNNNNNNNNGGCGGAGCCCUGCUGAGACAAGAUCAUCACCAACCUCCGGAGCGCCGUCACGCUGCCGGAGAACUCUUCUACCUCUCUGUCUCUCUUGCUGGACCAAGAAGGCCGAGAUCAUCGUCGAGCUGUACGUGUGCUGAACGCGGAGGUGCCGUCCGUUCGGUACUAGAUCGUGGGACUGAUCGCGGGAUUGUUCGCGGGGCGGAUCGAGGGACGUGAGGACGUUCCACUACAUCAANNNNNNNNNNNNNNNNNNNNNNNNNNNNNNNNNNNNNNNNNNNNNNNNNNNNNNNNNNNNNNNNNNNNNNNNNNNNNNNNNNNNNNNNNNNNNNNNNNNNCGGACCGUCGCCGUUGCACGUCGAACGACGCGGAACGCCGCCGCUCGCUCCGUCCACCGGUCGCCUCCCUCCGUCCUCGGAACCAGGCGCCGCCGCCGUCCUCCGAACCCGACCGAGGCCGGCGCCGGCCGGCGCCCACUCGACCCCCGAGAACCACGUCCAGGGUCGACCUCCGAGGCGCCACUUGGCCGCGGGCAGGCUGCGCUGGCUCCGGGCUCCGGGCGCGGGGGCGGGCGAGCGGCUGCUAGGCGGAGGACGAAGAGGAGGAGGAGGAAGACUUGACGAGGGCGGAGAGCCAGACGACGACGACGUUGAUGGAGAUGGUCACGUACGGCCUAGCGUCCACGGAGAAGUUGAAGCUGAAGUAGGACGCUCCCGGCGCCGAGGAAGAUGCCGCCAUCUCCAUGUCCAUGGUCUCUGUCUGUGGUAUGCCUGUCUCCUCUGCUCUUGCUGCCUUGGUGCUUCUUGCUUGCCUCUGGGAUGAGAGUUGUCGCUGGUCGCUGCGUGCUGGAUGCUAUUUGCAGAGCACGAAGGCUUGGCAUAUAUAGCUUGGUAGCCUCGCGAUAAGGCGCGAAACAAGUUGGAAGCGGGAUCGKACCCGUUGCGACUUGGGAAGAAGGAAAGCCGGGAGCGAAGAAGGUUCCCGGAAGCGGGGAGGCGUGGUGGAAACGCCGGACCAGACCGAGCGGUCGCCGGUUCGUGGCUUGUGAAAGUGAUGGAGCUGUCGUGCGCGCGCGCGCGGGGGUGUUUUUCAGCGGGUUUCGAGGGAGCUUCGCGGCGUGGAAACAUGCGCACCGGCGACCUGACCGUCCUGCUUUCUCGUGUUCUCGGUUGGGGUUGGCGUUGGAAUUCCACGCAGCCUCUCUCUCUCCUAUUUUAGUGGGCACGUCGCUCUCGUUUCGUCUGUGGUGCAGCCGCUCGUCUGCUACUCUUUCCGUUGUCGGGUUUCCUCCUGGUUGAUUUUCUUUUUGCGACUGAAUUCUGAUUUGAUUUUGAUAGAUAUAUGUGCGGUGGUGGACUGGUCGCAGGGAGCUGGGGGUGGUAUACGGCGACCGGUGUGAAGGAAGGUUGGUGAGUUGGCUGGCGAGCGCUUGACCAGAUUUCGUGGUGGACUCGACCAAACCAAACCAAACAGUGGCGUAGGUCUUUGCGCCAGCGGGCGUGAGGGAAUGCUUGCUCGUGCCCCCACCACCGGGUCGUCUCCGAUGACUGAGGUGUUUACACGCGACAGAGGUGCUAAUUAUGUGUGCUGCCGGCUGCAUAUAGAUCGAUAUACGCUAAAUGGAAACAUGACAACAAAACGUACGUUUGCCCGCACAAACCUUCCUGGACGGCAUGUUUGUCUCACGCUACUUUUCAUCCUUUGUUUUACAAAUUUGAAAUCUGAAGCUACAUUUCUUUUAAACACGAUAUAGAUGCAAGAGCUCAUAUAUAAGAGCAACUCUAGCAUACCCCGCAUCCCGUCGGCCCGUAAAACGCGUUUGCAGGUCGCGCAAAACAGCUUUUGCAGGCUGGCGUGGGCUGGCACAGAUGCGGACCCACCAAACGGAUCCGUAAAAAAAUAUAGUCGCGAAAUAUUCCUUUUUACGGGUCGGCUUUGCGGGAUCUGCUCUUUGCACCGCUGCUUCCCACGUAUCAUUAGCCCGCAAAUAUCAAAUACUCCCUCUGUAAGUUAAUAUAAGAGCAUUUAGACUACUAAAGUAGUGUUCUAAAUGCUCUUAUAUUAGUUUACGGGGACAUAAUUCAACAGCCGAAAACAAACUGAAUUAUUCGAAUCAAACACAAUACAAUAAUCAUCCGCAUUACAAACAAUUAUUCAAAACAUGUCAUGAAUACAAAUACAAAUGAAUACAAAAAUAAGUCACUGUCCAGCCAUUUGCCAAUGGUGUUCAAUGAGAUCUUUCUGAAGUUGAAAGUGGGUGUGUGGGUUUUCAAUCUCCUUGUCUGUCUGAAGAAAAGCUCUAAUGCGGUUUGGGUCUCUAGCUGGUUUAACACGGCUACCCACAUUGUCGUAAAAGAAUUCUAAGUUCCCAAGAUUCCUCGCAAGCUUGAACAAUUUUCACAAAGAGGGAUCGACGCAUUCCUUCUUUGAGUAAAUUACCGGCAAUUUUCCUCGCAAGCUUGAACAAUUUUCACAAAGAGGGAUCGGCGCAUUCGGUACCUUCUCCGGAAGAGGUGUGGAGGAUAUGUAGGAUGUUGGGGAACGUCGCAUGGAAAACAAAUUUUUUCCUACGCGCACAAAGACCUAUCAUGGUGAUGUCCAUCUACGAGGGGGAUUUCAGAUCUACGUACCCUUGUAGAUCGCACAGCAGAAGCGUUAAUAAACGCGGUUGAUGUAGUGGAACGUCCUCACGUCCCUCGAUCCGCCCCGCGAACCGUCCCACGAACCGUCCCGCGAUCUGUCCCACGAUCCGCUCCGAUCUAGUGCCGAACGGACGGCACCUCCGCGUUCAGCACACGUACAGCUCGACGAUGAUCUCGGCCUUCUUGAUCCAGCAAGAGAGACAGAGAGGUAGAUGAGUUCUCCGGCAGCAUGACGGCACUCCGAAGGUUUGUGGUGAUCUAAUCUCAGCAGGGCUCCGCGCGAGCUCCGCAGAAACGCGAUCUAGAGGAAAAACCGUGGAGGUAUGUGGUCGGACUGCCGUGGAAAAGUUAUCCCAAAUCAGCCCUAAAACCGCCGUAUAUAUAGGUGGGAGGGGAGGGGCCUUGCCUUGGGGCUCAAGGAGCCCCAAGGGGUUCGGCCGAAGGGGGGAGGAGGAGUCCUCCUCCAAUCCUAGUCCAACUAGGAUUGGAAGGUGGAGUCCUUCCCUUCCUUCCCACUUCCACUUUUUUCUCUUUGAUUUUCUUAUCUCCCUGCGCAGGGGCCUCUCUGGGCUUGCCCACCAACCCACUAAGGGCCGGUGCGGCACCACUAAGGCCUAUGGUCUUCCCCGGGGUGGGCUCGNNNNNNNNNNNNNNNNNNNNNNNNNNNNNNNNNNNNNNNNNNNNNNNNNNNNNNNNNNNNNNNNNNNNNNNNNNNNNNNNNNNNNNNNNNNNNNNNNNNNCUAAAAAAAGGGUUACUUUUAGUUUUGUAAAACAAAUUUUUAGGUAAUGUUACCUUUUCUAUAAUUUUUACUGAAAUUACUAAAACAAUAAUUACAGUUUUUCUAAAAAAAAUAGUUUUGAAAUUUUGAAAAAAUUAGGUUUAACUUUUUCAUUUUUUUAAGGUAGUUUUAMAAAWARUUACCAAAUUWCARWAAHAAUUUAAAAAAAAUAAAAAAAAUAAAAACAAAGAACAAAAAGGGUAAAAGGGAAAGAAAAUAAAAGAAAGAAAAAAACAAACAAAAAAUCUAAAAAAGAUAAAAUACCAAAAACGUAGAAGAAACAGGAGGAACCUUCUAGGAGAAAAAACGACUGAGAAACUAUAGAAGGUUCCCCAAACCGGAAUGGUGCAACUUGUUAAUAGUCGGCCCAGGUGAUUACCAUAAAAUGGACACAAUUUUAAUUGUAGAUGUAACUAAUUCACAAAAUGAAUCGUGCAUGAAAAUUCACAUGCAUAUCUUCUUUGUGUGGCGCCCGGUUGUACAUCGUGUAGCAUUUGAUCUACAGGCGCUACACCUCUGAUAAGCGUGGCAUCCGAGGUUAUAAUUCUGAUUGUAUGAUGUUUAAAUGAAAGGAGUCACUCUACAUUAUAUGACACCCGCUGAAAGAAGCCACAUUAUUUUAUAUUAAAAUUGAUGUAACUUUUAAUCCUUGCAUCCGAUGAAAAUAUGUUUUAUAUGAAUAUUGUGUAUUUUUCUGUGUUCUACGCAAUGGUGUCAUUUCCAUCGAUGUUAAGAUCAAUUUUCUUGAUGAAAUCUCUGUUGCAAAAAUGCGUCAUAAUAUAAUUGAUCGGAUUUGUUAAGACUUACAAAGUUGACAUGAUGGUAGCCACUGACUUAUAGCUUUUAUGCAUUUGCAUUCUACAUGAGUUUUACCCUAUAUAAUGUGUAUGUUCACGUCAUGUUCAUGCUUGUCAUGUUAGUCAUCUUUAAUAUGUUCAUGUCUUGCAUCUAAGUGACUAACAUGAUAUAUUUUUUGUAAACAAUCUUAUGAAGCUUUAUUUAACUGAAAUCAAUGUUUACAGAAAUAAAUGCAGGAUCAUCGGGUUGCUUAACCACACAUGGUCGCCAACCCCUAGUCUGGUAACAUGCUUCGUUAUGGAUGGGCCAGUUCCAAACACAGUAGGCCCACUUCCACCUCGUAGCCGGGCUUAGUCAGGUCAGUCGUCCAUUGUAGGAUUUUCUUCCACCUGGUCUUCGCACCUCUGAGACGGGGAGAUGCGGAGGCCGUCGGCUUCGUCGCCUCCGGCGAGGGGACCGGCGUUGGCUGCAGCAGCCGCUGUCGUUCUCCUCCCGGCUAUUUUCCCCGCGCUGUUCUCCCCGCUCGGCCGCGCCUUCCCUUCCCUAUUCUCGGUGCGUCCCCUAUAGUCGCCAUCCUCCUCUCCAGGCGGCUCGAUUUGAGCCGGUGUAGCGUCAUAUUGGCGAUCUUCCGCUUCUCUAGCUGCUUCCUACGCCUCUCCUUGCUAGUUCGCCACUUUGCCGAGUCCGAUUGUUUGGGGUGGGCGAAAAUUGGAUAUAAUCUAGAGGGAUUGGUACUUUUGGGGGGAGGAAUGUAUGUGGAAGGUGAAAUGAUGUGGUGAAUUCGUGGCUUUGUCCCCUCUUGAAUUGGAACUAGUACGAAAUUACAUUUGUUUAUUUGGUGUAUAUGUAUGUCGAUGCAGAGUAACCUGUAAAUAAGCAAAGUGUGCAACCUGUAAAUAAGCGAAGUUUGCAAGAUCUGGAUUCUUUUGAUGGACAGCAUCAUGCCAGUUGCAUCGGAUAUUUUGGUUUGGACAGUGGUCUCCAAUGUGUGAUUACGAGUAGAUUUUUUUGUAUGCAUUUCGGGGCAGUGUGGGACGCUGGGACUGUACUCGGCUACCAUGAGCCAUGACAGUAUUGGGAAUAACAUGUGUACUGGAUUACUCUACUAUGGCUGUGAAGAUAGAUUGGCUACUGAUGUGGACCUUAGUAAAUAUUUCUGCAGACUGCAAUAUUGUCUUUUUAAGAUUAAUCAUGUGGACAGCGUGUAUACUGCAGGAGUGGAAUGCCCCUAAGCCAAUGCACGAGUCUCUUUUCAAUGAGUCUUUGCGAUGGACAAUAGUGAGUAUUCACAACUCAGAUAAAUACUGGAAAUAGUUAUGUUGAAGUCUAUUUGUAACUUACUCUCUGUACAGCCAGAUGAACAAAAAAGAGAUCUCUGGACACCCUUGCCUGAUCAGGGGUGGAAACCAUGCAUAAGGUCAUCGAUCACUCGUGGUAACAUUCUGUGAUAAAUCUGUUUAGGUAAUGAUAUGCCUCCCGCUGCGAUAGAUCACUAAGCAUUUGGUUAUAUGAAGUGUAGGGUUACCUUCACAACCCAGUGGGUACAUACAAGUAUUUCUUGAUGGUGGCCUGAACCAGCAGAGAAUGGGGGUAACUCACUUCUUAUGUACCAAACUCAUGAUGUUAGAUUUAAUAUAACUUGCUUGGUUGAAACUUCAGAUCAUCUGGCUCUUUCUUUUUGUUCUCUAGAUAUGUGAUGCAGUUGCGGUUGCUAAGAUUUUGAACGCUACUCUUGUGAUCCCACAUCUUGAAGUAAACCCUGUUUGGAAAGACUCAAGGUGCUUUUGGAGUUUCAGAGUACUACUGUAUCUUGUUAAUUUUAAAUACUCCUGUUAGAUUGGAAGUGAAAGGUUUAGUUUGGUCUGCAGCUCAUUUGGAGAUAUUUUUAAUGUGGAUCACUUCAUCAACACCCUAAGAGGCGAUGUUUCAAUAGUGAGAGCUCCAUUAAAAGAAUUUUCGUGGAGCACAAGAGAGUUCUAUAGCACAGGAAUACGUGCUACAAGAAUAAAAACUGCACCUCUUCAUGCCUCGGCUAAUUGGUAUAUAGAGAAUGUCAGUCCUAUCCUGCAAAGGUUUGUGAUUUUCUUGGCCAUAUAGUCGCUUCUCUAGACCCCUUGAGUAAGUGGCAUAAUAAUGCUAAGAAACUGCAGUUCAUGUUUAGCCCAGGUUGAUGGCCACUGAACUGGCUUUAUAGUAUUAACAUGACAACUCGUUGUCUAACUUCAUUAGUUGGUUACUCUGUGAGGGGAAUCCUUCACCGAAAAUCUCAUGCAAGCGUUGUUUCCCUUGUCAGCUAUGGCAUUGCUGCCAUUGCCCCCUUUUCUCACCGCCUUGCAUUCGAUGAUUUGCCUGUGGAUAUUCAACGCCUGCGCUGUAAAGUUAACUUUGAAGCCCUGGUUUUUGUGCCUUACAUUAUAUCACUGGGGAGGACCCUUGAGAAGCGCUUGAGAUCUCCAGUGCAGGGGCAUUCCACUGAAUUAACCCAACAAGUUGUAGAAGAUUACACAGAUCAGUCUGAAAAGUAUGCAGUUGUACAUCUCCGCUUCGAUAAGGUAAAUGGAAGGGCUUCUGCUAUAUUUGGAAGUCGUACGUGUAUAUUUUUGUUAUCUUCAAGGAAUUUCCACUCUGAAACAACUCAAGCUGACCUACAUUUUUCAGGAUAUGGCUGCACAUUCUGCCUGUGACUUUGGCGGUGGUAGAGCUGAAAAAUUAGCUCUGGCUAAGUACAGGCAAGUUAUCUGGCAAGGGAGGGUAUUAAAUUCACAGUUAAGUGAUGAGGAGCUUCGAAACACAGGACGCUGCCCGUUGACUCCAGAAGAGAUUGGAUUGAUACUAGUAGCGCUUGGCUUUGACAGCAAAACUCGAUUUUAUCUUGCCUCUCACAAGGUUUGACUCUCUGCCUCUGCCGGUGCGCUUACUUAUUCUCCGUAGUGGAAGCAGAAAUUUCUAACAUACGUCACCUAUUAAGGUAUAUGGAGGGGAAGCUAGGAUCUCUAGCUUGCGCAAGCUUUUCCCGCUGAUGGUAGACAAGAGGAGCCUUGCAUCGGCAGAUGAGCUUGCUAGUAUCGAAGGGAAGGCUUCUGUGCUAGCAGCUCUUGACUACCAUAUCAGCAUGCACAGCGAUGUUUUCAUCUCUGCUUCUCCUGGCAAUAUGCAUAAUGCACUGGUAAAUCCUGUUUGGCUUCAGCUGUAUUCGCUAGAUUUCUCCUCUUUCUUUAUUGGUCCUGACCAGAUGAUGGUUGAUUCAGCUGGCCCACCGGACCUAUAGGAAUCUGAAGACGAUAAGGCCAAACAUGACAUUGCUUGGCCACAUAUUUGUGAACAAGAGCAUGGAGUGGUCAGAGUUUCAGCAGGCUGUGCAGGCAGGCCACAAAGGUAGAUACGGGCAGAUCCGGCUGAGGAAGCCGAAGCAGUCUAUCUAUACUUAUCCUGCCCCAGAUUGUAUGUGCCCAGGGUAGAUCGCCAAGUUUUCUGCGGUGCACCGACAAAAGAAAUGUGCUGAGUUACUUGCAGUUUCUAAUUAGGUUAAGCUCAUGUGGAUAUGUAUAUUUAGUUCUGAAUUUUCGGUUGAAUCAGUUUGCUGCCACUUCCAAUAGGAUCUUAAAAUUUUAACCAAAAUUUACGCACUAUACGUUGAGCCUUGAAGGACUCUAAUCUUGUGCUGUUUGCACGAUCCAUACGACGAAGUUGUAGUUUUGGAGCUGAUGUUGUGUAUCUGUGACCUGACUUGAUAUACUGGAUCCUUUUUCUUCUUUUAUUCCGCUGUUCUACUUCUGGGAGUCCGGUGUUCUGAAUUUCUGCUUUGAUUUAGUAUUACUAUCGUCAUGGCGAAUUCGAUACUAAUGCUUCAAACUAGUAGUAUGUUUUGCCAUGUUUUAAAAUAACACGCAUGGGUGAUAUUACAAGUACAGCCUCCGUCGGAAGCCAUGGGCGAAUCCACAAGGACAAAGUUUCACCACCGGAACUUUAAGAUUACAACACGUUUUUGCACUGCCACCUACUCCUCCACACUUUGUACAUCCUCAGCACCCCAAAAUAAUAAUUCAGACCACCUGAAACCUCCUUGGUCGGUGAAAUCGACGGAUUUAUUGGCCGGAGAUGGUCUGGAUGAUGGUGUUGUGCCAUGGGUCGGCCAGGUGCUGCUGCAGGUUCUCGAACGGCCCCUUCCCGGUCACGUUGUGCUGCACCAGGAACCCCAGGAACGCCAGCAUGGCCAGUCUCCCUGAACGAAUGAACGCGCGCGCGAAUACAGAUUAACGAGAGCCGUCGGAUUAGAAACCCGAGGGUUCAGAUGAGACUGAAGAGAGGAUGGACGUACCGUUGGCGAGCUCCUUCUCCUUGUUCUCGAGGGUGGGGGCGAAGUUGAGGGGGUUGAAGACGCUGCCGGGGUAGCCGCACUCGUGGGGCGGGAGGCUGUAGCUCUUGAAGAUGGGGUCCUGGUUGACGGAGCCCGGGUUCUUGAUGUCCUGCCACCGCCGGAUCUCGACGUAGUGGAAGAGGAUGAACUCGAUGACGAAGAGCGUGGAGGAGGAGGCGAAGUAGGUCUCCUUGCCGGCGUCGUACCACUCGGGCGCGUUCAGCAGCCCCGCCUUGGUCAGCACCUCCGGGAUCAGCAUCCCCGCCACCCCCAGCAUCGCCCACCGCCCGUUCACCAGCUCCGCCUGCACGAACCACCGCAGGUCCUCCGGGUCCUCCGCCAGCGCCAGCGGGUCAAAACCAUUGUCACCCGCCAGACUGCACACGUAUCGUCCGUCAGUACGGUCGUAAACAUAUGUAACAGCUGCGUGCAUGGGCACGACGGAAGUGGUGUGGCGUGUCGUGUGGUCUGCUCACCUGCCGUCGAGGUAGGCAGGGGACUGGAGGCCGGGGAGCCAGGACCCCUUGGCCUGGACGGCGACGUCGCGGCGGGUGGACUUGGCGAGCCCGACGCGGCCGGAGUCGCCCAGGAACCGGGGGCUCGACGCUGACGCCGCCGGCCGGAGAGCGGCCACGGGAGCGCGGGCACUGACCGACGACAUCUUCUGCUACUCCUGACUAGAGAGCGCGUACGGCAGGAGAGUGAGAGUGCGCGCGUGUGUGUGUGGUGGUUCUGCCUCUCCGCACCUGCGCUUGGCCCUUUGUAUUGGGCUGCGCUUCGGUGAUUUGUGGGUGUGGUGAGCUGGGCCCCGGAGGUCGAGAUGGACGGCGUGUGUUGGCGCCACCGCGUCGUCCGACGGCUGCGAUGCGUUUGCGCCUGGAGACUGGAUAGAUGGACCAGUGGGAGACCGGGAGGCGUAUGUGCGUUAUCUGGAUGAUGGAUAAUGCGGAAUCAAAAGGGGGAUCGCUAUUGGUCGGGGAAACGCACGUUCGGUUUACCUGGCUGCCACGUCGAUCGGACGAUCCGUCAUGAUGUACAGCUGUACAUGGUGCCAUGGCGGGUUGGUCUGUUUGCUUCAACUUUCGAGCUCUUCCACGGGAAACCGGCUUUCGCCCUAGAAAUGGCACGGAUGGUCGAACGGAUACAAGGUGAUGGAAAGAACCCCAUAGAAGGCGGUCGCGGCGAGCCGUCACGAUCCCGUAAUCGAACAAGAAAAUAAGAGUCGCCACACCUAACAUGAGGCGACCUAGACUAUUGAAUCGGAACUCAACCGUGCCGCCUAGGAAAAUCAUAGACCAUUAUGCAUAAAACACAUCAAGUUAUCGCCGGAGAAAGUAAGUGUCGAUCCAAUCCGUGGAGUUCCAAUCCUGCGAGCAGAUAGCGAGGACCAAUGACAUUGACUACGAGGACACGUGUAAAUGAUAGGGGAUCAACGGAUCCACUCCACGACGAAGCCGAAGGCACCGAUGUGCUGUAACUGGAUGAUAUUUGUGUUCCCCGACAAUGCCCCGAGGAGGGUAAUGAUGUAGAGCGUUGAUACGUCUCCAACGUAUUUAUGGUGUUUUUAUUGUGUCAUGCUAUUAUAUUAUCAAUUUCGGAUGCUUUAUAUGCUAUUUUAUAUCAUUUUUAAGAACUAACCUAUUAACCGAGUGUCCAGUGUCAGUUCCUAUUUUUUGCGUGUUUUGACUUCUCAGAAAAUCAAUAACAAACGAAGUUCAAACAUGAUGAAACUUUAUGAUGAUUCUUUCUGGACCAAAAAGGGACCCCUAGAAGGUUCGGGAGGAGGCCAGAAGACGUAGGGAGAGCCACAAGCUCACAGGGUCGCCGCCCCCCCCCCCGGGGGGGGGGGUAGGGCCCCUUGAGCUCGUGACUCCCACAGAACUCAUUUUGACCUAAUUCCACCUCUAUAUAUUCCCAUAUAAUCCCAAACCAACAGAGAGACACCCGAAACACUUUUCCCACUGCCGCAAGACUUUGUUCUUCCGUGAUUCCAUGUGGAGGCCUUUCCGGUACUCUAGCAGAAGGUGAAUCGAUCAUGGAGUCCAUCUACAUCAACCUUGAUGUCUCCAUGAUGGUGCGUGAGUAGUUCACCACGGACAUACGGGUCCAUAGCUAGUAGCUAGAUGGCUUAUUCUCCCUCUUUGAUCUUCAGUACCAUGUUCUCCUUGAUCUUUCUGGAAUUCUGUCCAAUGUAAUCUUCUUUUGUGGUGUGUUUGUUAGGAUCCGAUGAAUUGUGUGUUUAUGAUCAGAUUAUUCAUUUAAAGUAAUUGAGUCUUUUCUGAACUUUAUUAUGCAUGAUUGUUAUUGCUUUGUAUUUCUGUGUGAUCUAUCUAUUUGGUUUGGCCAACUAGAAUGAUUUAUCUUCAGUGGGGGAGAUGCUCUGUGAUGGGUUCAAUCUUGGGGUGUCCUCACCCAGUGAUAGUAGGGGUAGCGAGGCACGUAUUUGUAUUAUUGCCAUAAGGGAUAAAACAACAAGGGUUAUUCAUAUUGAUUGGGUUUACUUUUUCUACAUCAUGACAUCUUGAUUAUAGCAUUACUCUAUUUUUCAUGAACGUAAUACCUAGAUAGGCAAGCAUAGAAGCACUUUUGAAGUGGAGUAAUGGUACUAGAUGCAGAAUCGUUUCGGUCUACUUGUCACAGACGUGAUGCCUAUAUACAUGAUCAUUGCCAUGAAUAACAUCGUAAUUAUGCUCUUUUCUAUCAAUUGCCCAACAAUAGUUUGUCUACCCACAGUAUGCUAUGUGUUCGAGAGAGAAACCAAAUAUACUUUAUUCCAACUUACUUACUUUAUUUACUUUUAUUUUUAUAUAUCUAUCACUAUCAAAAUUAAUCCUUGCAAGUAACGAGUUCAAGGGGAUUGACGAUCCUCUUGCCUGUGUUGGGUGCAAGUGUUUGCUUUUGUGUGUGUAGGUGUUGAGGACAAUAAUUUGCAUGCUUCUCCUAUUGGUUCGAUAACCUUGGUUCUCACUGAGGAAAAUACUUAUCCGCUACUAUAUUUCUUCACCCUUCCUCUUCGGGGAAAAUCCCAACGCACCUCACAAGUAGCAGAAAGAAUUUAUGGCGUCGUUGUUGGGGAGAAUCACCAAACAACUCGAGGUACCUACACACACACUAUCGUUUACUUGUUUUGAUGGGGAACGUUGCAUGGGAAACAAAAAAAGUCCUACGCACACGCAAUACCUAUCCAUGGUGAUGAUCAUCUACGAGAGGGGAGAGUGUAUCUACAUACCCUUGUAGAUCGCUAAGCGGAAGCGUAUAUAACACGGUUGAUGUAGUGGAACAUCUUCGCGAUCCAAAUCGCAGCCCGUCCCGCGAUAUCAUCACGAUCCGUCCCUCGAUCCCAUCACGAUCCAUCUCGAUCUAGUGUCGAACGUACGACACCUCCGCGUUCAGCACACAUACAGCUUGAUGACGAUCUCCGCUUUCUUGAUCCAGCAAGAGAGACGAAGAGGUAGCUGAAUUCUCCGGCAGCACGACGACGUGGCGAUGAUGGUGGUGGAGCUACUCCGGCAGGGCUUCGCCGUGCCGUACCGAACUAGCUACGGGGUGUCACGAAGUGGUGGAGGGAGAGAGGGUUGCACUAUGGCUUGGGUGCCAAAAGCCUCUCUCACCUCCACUAUAUAUAGGUGGGAGGGAGGGGUGGCGCCCUAGGGAAAACCCCCUAGGGUUGGCCGGUGCACCAAGCAAGGAGGAGGAGUCCCUUCCUAUUUCGGUUUGCCCCACCUCUUCCUUCCUUUCUCCUCCUUCGGCCGAACCAGGCCCAUUUGGGCUGGCCACCAGCCCACCACGGGCUGAUGUGACUGUUGGGGAACGUCGCAUGGGAAACAAAAUUUUUCCUACGCGCACGAAGACCUAUCAUGGUGAUGUCCAUCUACGAGAGGGGAUGAGUGAUCUACGUACCCUUGUAGAUCGUACAGCAGAAGCGUUAGUGAACGCGGUUGAUGUAGUGGAACGUCCUCACGUCCCUCGAUCCGCCCCGCGAACAAUCCCGCGAUCAGUCCCACGAUCUAGUACCGAACGGACGGCACCUCCGCGUUCAGCACACGUACAACUCGACGAUGAUCUCGGCCUUCUUGAUCCAGCAAGAGAGACGGAGAGGUAGAAGAGUUCUCCGGCAGCGUGACGACGCUCCGGAGGUUGGUGAUGACCUUGUCUCAGCAGGGCUCCGCCCGAGCUCCGCAGAAACGCGAUCUAGAGGAAAAACCGUGGAGGUAUGUGGUCGGGCUGCCGUGGAAAAGUCGUCUCAAAUCAGCCCUAAAACCUCCGUAUAUAUAGGUGGGAGGGAGGGGACCUUGCCUUGGGGCUCAAGGAGCCCCAAGGGGGUCGGCCGAGUCCAAGGGGGGAAGACCCCCCCCCCCAAACCGAGUUGGACUUGGUUUGGUGGGAGGGAGUCGUUCCCUUCCUUCCCACCUCCCUUUUUUUUAUUUCUCUUUGAUUUUUAUCUCUAUGGCGCAUAGGGCUCUUUUGGGCUGUCCCACCAGCCCACUAAGGGCUGGUGUGCCUCCCUCAAGGCCUAUGGGCUUCCCCGGGGUGGGUUGCCCCCCCGGUGAACUUCCGGAACCCAUUCGUCAUUCCCGGUACAUUCCCGGUUACUCCGAAAACCUUCCGGUAAUCAAAUGAGGUCAUCCUAUAUAUCAAUCUUCGUUUUCGGACCAUUCCGGAAACCCUCGUGACGUCCGUGAUCUCAUCCGGGACUCCGAACAACAUUCGGUAACCAACCAUAUAACUCUAAUACGCAUAAAACAACGUCGAACCUUAAGUGUGCAGACCCUGCGGGUUCGAGAACUAUGUAGACAUGACCCGAGAGACUCCUCGGUCAAUAUCCAAUAGCGGGACCUGGAUGCCCAUAUUGGAUCCUACAUAUUCUACGAAGAUUUUAUCGUUUGAACAUCAGUGCCAAGGAUUCAUAUAAUCCCGUAUGUCAUUCCCUUUGUCCUUCGGUAUGUUACUUGCCCGAGAUUCGAUCGUCAGUAUCCGCAUACCUAUUUCAAUCUCGUUUACCGGCAAGUCUCUUCUUUGAAUUACCCUUCUUGCCUUUGCCGUUUCUCUUGAAACUAGUGGUCUUAUUCACCAUCAACACUUGAUGCUCUUUACGGAGUUCAGACUCUGCGACUUUCAACAUCGCAAACAACUCGCCGGGUGACUUGUUCAUCCCUUGCAUGUUGUAGUUCAACACAAAGCCUUUGUAGCUUGGUGGCAGUGAUUGAAGGAUUCUGUCAGUGAUAGCCUCUUGCGGGAGUUCAAUCCCCUGCUCAGCUAGACGGUUUGAGUACCCAGACAUUUUGAGCACAUGUUCACUGACAGACGAGUUUUCCUCCAUCUUGCAAGCAUAGAAUUUAUCGGAGGUCUCAUACCUCUCGAUCCGGGCGUUCUUCUGAAAGAUAAACUUCAACUCCUGGAACAUCUCAAAUGCUCCAUGACGCUCAAAGCAACGUUGAAGUCCCGGUUCUAAGCCAUACAAAACUGCACAUUGAACUAUUGAGUAGUCCUCCUUACGUGCUAACAUCCUGAUCAGCCGUAGCGGGUGGUUCAUCUCCUAGCGCAGCAUUAAGGACAUAGUCCUUCUUCCCAGCUUGUAAGAUUAGCUUAAGAUUACGAGCCCAGUCUACAAAGUUGCUUCCAUCAUCUUUCAACUUAGCUUUCUCUAGGAACGUAUUAAAAUUCAGGAUGACUGUCGCGUGAGCCAUGAUCUACAACACAAAUAUAUUCAAAGUGGACUUAGACUAUGUUGAAGAUAAUUAGAGUUCAACUUAAUCAAAUUAUCUGCUAAACUCCCACUCAAAAAUUACAUCUCUCUAGUCAUUUGAGUGGUUCAUGAUCCACCUACACUAUCUCAAGUCCGAUCAUCACGUGAGUUGAGUAUAGUUUCAGUGGUAAGCAUCCCUAUGCUAAUCACAUCAUCUAUAUGAUUCAUGAUCGACCUUUCGGUCUCAUGUGUUCCGAGGCCAUGUCUGCACAUGCUAGGCUCGUCAAGCUUAACCCGAGUGUUCCGCGUGCGCAACUGUUUUGCACCCGUCGUAUGUGAACGUUGAGUCUAUCACACCGAUCAUCACGUGGUGUCUCGAAAUGACGAACUGUAGCAACGGUGCACAGUCGGGGAGAACACAAUUUCAUCUUGAAAUUUUAGUGAGAGAUCACCUCAUAAUGCUACCGUCGUUCUAAGAAAAAUAAGGUGCAUAAAAGGAUUAACAUCACAUGCAAUUCAUAAGUGACAUGAUAUGGCCAUCAUCACGUGCUUCUUGAUCUCCAUCACCAAAGCACCGGCACGAUCUUCUUGUCACCGGCGCCACACCAUGAUCAUCCAUCAACAUGUUGACAUCGGGGUUGUCGUGCUACUUAUGCUAUUACUACUAAAGCUACAUCCUAGCAAAAUAGUAAACGCAUCUGCAAGCACAAACGUUAGUAUAAAGACAACCCUAUGGCUCCUGCCGGUUGCCGUACCAUCGACGUGCAAGUCGAUAUUUCUAUUACAACAUGAUCAUCUCAUACAUCCAAUAUAUCACAUCACAUCAUUGGCCAUAUCACAUCACAAUCAUACCCUGACAAAAACAAGUUAGACVUACACCUAGUAUGUUGUUGCAUGUUUUACGUGGUGACCAAGGGUAUCUAGUAGGAUCGCAUCUUACUUACGCAAACACCACAACGGAGAUAUAUGAGUUGCUAUUUAACCUCAUCCAAGGACCUCCUCGGUCAAAUCCGAUUCAACUAAAGUUGGAGAAACCGACACUUGCCAGUCAUCUUUGAGCAACGGGGUUACUCGUAACGAUGAAACCAGUCUCUCGUAAGCGUACGAGUAAUGUCGGUCCAAGCCGCUUCAAUCCAACAAUACCGCGGAAUCAAGAAAAGACCAAGGAGGGCAGCAAAACGCACAUCACCGCCCACAAAAACUUUUGUGUUCUACUCGAGAAGACAUCUACGUAUGAACCUAGCUCAUGAUGCCACUGUUGGGGAACAUCGCAUGGGAAACAAAAUUUUUCCUACGCGCACGAAGACCUAUCAUGGUGAUGUCCAUCUACGAGAGGGGAUGAGUGAUCUACGUACCCUUGUAGAUCGUACAGCAGAAGCGUUAGUGAACGCGGUUGAUGUAGUGGAACGUCCUCACAUCCCUCGAUCCGCCCCGCGAACAAUCCCGCGAUCAGUCCCACGAUCUAGUACCGAACGGACGGCACCUCCGCGUUCAGCACACGUACAGCUCGACGAUGAUCUCGGCCUUCUUGGUCCAGCAAGAGAGACAGAGAGGUAGAAGAGUUCUCCGGCAGCGUGACGGCGCUCCGGAGGUUGGUGAUGACCUUGUCUCAGCAGGGCUCCGCCCGAGCUCCGCAGAAACGCGAUCUAGAGGAAAAACCGUGGAGGUAUGUGGUCGGGCUGCCGUGGAAAAGUCGUCUCAAAUCAGCCCUAAAACCUCCGUAUAUAUAGGUGGGAGGGAGGGGACCUUGCCUUGGGGCUCAAGGAGCCCCAAGGGGGUCGGCCGAGUCCAAGGGGGGAAGACUCCCCCCCGAAACCGAGUUGGACUUGGUUUGGUGGGAGGGAGUCCUUCCCUUCCUUCCCACCUCCCUUUUUUUUUCUUUCUCUUUGAUUUUUAUCUCUAUGGCGCAUAGGGCUCUUUUGGGCUGUCCCACCAGCCCACUAAGGGCUGGUGUGCCUCCCUCAAGGCCUAUGGGCUUCCCCGGGGUGGGUUGCCCCCCCGGUGAACUUCGGAACCCAUUCGUCAUUCCCGGUACAUUCCCGGUUACUCCGAAAACCUUCCAGUAAUCAAAUGAGGUCAUCCUAUAUAUCAAUCUUCGUUUCCGGACCAUUCCGGAAACCCUCGUGACGUCCGUGAUCUCAUCCGGGACUCCGAACAACAUUCGGUAACCAACCAUAUAACUCUAAUACGCAUAAAACAACGUCGAACCUUAAGUGUGUAGACCCUGCGGGUUCGAGAACUAUGUAGACAUGACCCAAGAGACUCCUCGGUCAAUAUCCAAUAGCGGGACCUGGAUGCCCAUAUUGGAUCCUACAUAUUCUACGAAGAUCUUAUCGUUUGAACCUCAGUGCCAAGGAUUCGUAUAAUCCCGUAUGUGAUUCCCUUUGUCCUUCGGUACGUUACUUGCCCGAGAUUCGAUCGUCAGUAUCCGCAUACCUAUUUCAAUCUCGUUUACCGACAAGUCUCUUUACUCGUUCCGUAAUACAAGAUCCCGCAACUUACACUAAGUUACAUUGCUUGCAAGGCUUGUGUGUGAUGUUGUAUUACCGAGUGGGCCCUGAGAUACCUCUCCGUCAUACGGAGUGACAAAUCCCAGUCUUGAUCCAUACUAACUCAACUAACACCUUUGGUGAUACCUGUAGAGCAUCUUUAUAGUCACCCAGUUACGUUGCGACGUUUGAUACACACAAAGCAUUCCUCCGGUGUCAGUGAGUUAUAUGAUCUCAUGGUCAUAGGAAUAAAUACUUGACACGCAGAAAACAGUAGCAACAAAAUGACACGAUCAACAUGCUACGUCUAUUAGUUUGGGUCUAGUCCAUCACGUGAUUCUCCCAAUGAUGUGAUCCAGUUAUCAAGCAACAACACCUUGUCCAUAAUCAGAAGACACUGACUAUCAUCGAUCAACUGGCUAGCCAACUAGAGGCAUGCUAGGGACGGUGUUUUGUCUACGUAUCCACACAUGUAAAUGAGUCUUCAUUCAAUACAAUUAUAGCAUGGAUAAUAAACUAUUAUCUUGAUACAGGAAUUAUAAUAAUAACUAUACAUUUAUUAUUGCCUCUAGGGCAUAAUUCUAACAGUCUCCCACUUGCACUAGAGUCAAUAAUCUAGCCCUCACAUCACCAUGUGAAUUACAUUGUAAUAAAUCUAACACCCAUACAGUUCUGGUGUCGAUCAUGUUUUGGCCGUGGAAGAGGUUUAGUCAGCGGGUCUGCUACAUUCGGAUCCGUGUGCACUUUGCAUAUAUUUACGUCGUCCUCCUCGACGUAGUUGCGGAUGAGGUUGAAGCAUCGUUUGAUGUGUCUGGUCUUCUUGUGAAACCUUGGCUCCUUUGCUAAGGCAAUGGCACCAGCGUUGUCACAGAACAAGGUUAUUGGAUCCAGUGCACUUGGCACCACUCCAAGAUCCGUCAUGAGCUGCUUCAUCCAGACACCCUCCUUAGCCGCCUCCGAGGCAGCCAUGUACUCCGCUUCACAUGUAGAAUCUGCUACCACGCUUUGCUUGGAACUGCACCAGCUUACUGCACCCCCAUUAAGAAUAAAUACGUAUCCGGUUUGCGACUUAGAGUCGUCCGGAUCUGUGUCAAAGCUUGCAUCGACGUAACCUUUUACGGCGAGCUCUUCGUCACCUCCAUACACGAGAAACAUCUCCUUAGUCCUUUUCAGGUACUUCGGGAUAUUCUUGACCGCUGUCCAGUGAUCCACUCCUGGAUUACUCUGGAACCUACCUGCCAUACUUAUGGCCAGGCUAACAUCCGGUCUAGUGCACAGCAUCGCAUACAUGAUAGAACCUAUGGCUGAAGCAUAGGGGACGGAGCGCAUAUGCUCUCUAUCUUCAUCAGUUGCUGGGCACUGAGUCUUACUCAAUCUCGUACCUUGUAACACUGGCAAGAACCCUUUCUUGGACUGUUCCAUUUUGAACCUCUUCAAAACUUUAUCAAGGUAUGUGCUUUGUGAAAGUCCUAUCAGGCGCUUUGAUCUAUCCCUAUAGAUCUUAAUGCCUAGAAUGUAAGCAGCUUCUCCUAGGUCCUUCAUAGAGAAACUUUUAUUCAAGUAACCUUUUAUGCUCUCCAAAAGCUCUACGUUGUUUCCAAUCAGUAAUAUGUCAUCCACAUAUAAUAUUAGAAACGCCACAGAGCUCCCACUCACUUUCUUGUAAAUACAAGAUUCUCCAACCACUUGUAUAAACCCAAAUGCUUUGAUCACCUCAUCAAAGCGUUUGUUCCAACUCCGAGAUGCUUGCACCAGUCCAUAAAUGGAUCGCUGGAGCUUGCACACCUUGUCAGCAUUUUUAGGAUCGACAAAACCUUCGGGUUGCAUCAUAUACAACUCUUCCUUAAGAAAACCAUUAAGGAACGCCGUUUUGACAUCCAUCUGCCAGAUUUCAUAAUCGAAAAAUGCAGCUAUUGCUAACAUGAUUCUGACGGACUUAAGCAUUGCCACGGGAGAGAAAGUCUCAUCGUAGUCAAUUCCUCGAACUUGUGAAAAAUCCUUUGCCACAAGUCGAGCUUUAUAAACGGUCACAUUACCGUCAACGUCCGUCUUCUUCUUAAAGAUCCAUUUGUUCUGAAUAGCCUUGCGGCCUUCAGGUAGUAUCUCCAAAGUCCACACUUUGUUCUCAUACAUGGAUCCUAUCUCAGAUUUCAUGGCUUCUAGCCAUUUGUUGGAAUCUGGGCCCACCAUUGCUUCUUCAUAAUUCGCAGGUUCAUUGUUGUCUAACAACAUGAUUGAUAAGACGGGAUUACCGUACCACUCUGGAGCAGUGCGUGAUCUCGUCGACCUGCGUGGUUCAACAGAAACUUGAACUGGAGUUUCAUGAUCAUCAUCAUUAACUUCCUCCUCAACCGGCGUCGCAAUGACAGAGGUUUCCCCUUGUCCUGCGCCACCAUCCAGAGGGAUGAGAGGUUCGACAACCUCGUCAAGUUCUAUCUUCCUCCCACUCAAUUCUCUCGAGAGAAACUCCUUCUCGAGAAAAGUUCCGUUCUUAGCAACAAACACUUUGCCCUCGGAUUUGAGAUAGAAGGUGUACCCAACUGUCUCCUUUGGGUAGCCUAUGAAGACGCAUUUUUCCGCUUUGGGUUCCAGCUUUUCAGGCUGAAGCUUUUUGACAUAAGCAUCACAUCCCCAAACUUUAAGAAACGACAACUUUGGCCUUUUGCCAUACCACAGUUCGUAUGGUGUCGUCUCAACGGAUUUUGAUGGUGCCCUAUUUAAAGUGAAUGCAGCUGUUUCUAAUGCAUAACCCCAAAAUGAUAACGGCAAAUCAGUAAGAGACAUCAUAGAUCGCACCAUCUCUAACAAAGUACGAUUACGACGUUCGGACACACCAUUACGCUGUGGUGUUCCAGGCGGUGUUAACUGCGAAACAAUUCCACAUUGUCUUAAGUGAGCACCAAACUCGAAACUCAGAUAUUCACCCCCACGGUCAGACCGUAGGAACUUGAUCUUCUUGUUAUGAUGAUUUUCCACUUCACUCUGAAAUUGCUUGAACUUUUCAAAUGUUUCAGACUUGUGCUUCAUCAAGUAGACAUAACCAUAUCUACUUAAAUCGUCAGUGAAGGUGAGGAAAUAACGAUAUCCGCCGCGUGCCUCCACGCUCAUUGGACCACACACAUCGGUAUGUAUGAUUUCCAACAAGUCACUUGCACGCUCCAUUGUUCCGGAGAACGGAGUCUUAGUCAUCUUGCCCAUGAGGCAUGGUUCGCACGUGUCAAGUGAAUCAAAGUCAAGUGACUCCAAAAGUCCAUCAGCAUGGAGUUUCUUCAUGCGCUUUACACCAAUAUGACCCAAGCGGCAGUGCCACAAAAAUAUGGCGCUAUCAUUGUUUACUCUAACUCUUUUGGUCUCAAUGUUAUGCAUAUGCGUAUCGCUAUCAAGAUUCAAUAUGAACAAUCCUCUCACAUUCGGUGCAUGACCAUAAAAGAUGUUACUCAUAGAAAUAGAACAACCAAUAUUCUCAGACAUAAAAGAGUAACCGUCUCGCAAUAAACAAGAUCCAGAUAUAAUGUUCAUGCUCAACGCAGGCACUAAAUAACAAUGAUUUAAGUUCAUCACUAAUCCCGAUGGUAGUUGAAGUGACACUGUGCCGACGGCGAUUGCAUCAACCUUGGAACCAUUUCCUACGCGCAUCGUCACUUCGUCUUUCGCCAGCUUUCGUCUAUUCCGCAGUUCCUGUUUCGAGUUGCAAAUGUGAGCAACAGAACCGGUAUCGAAUACCCAGGCACUACUACGAGAGCCGGUUAAGUACACAUCAAUAACAUGUAUAUCAAAUAUACCUGAUUUUUCUUUGCCCGCCUUCUUAUCUGCCAGAUACUUGGGGCAAUUGCGCUUCCAGUGACCCAUACCCUUGCAAUAGAAGCACUCUGUUUCAGGCUUAGGUCCAGCCUUGGGUUUCUUCGGCGGAUUGGCAACAGGUUUGCCGCUCUUCUUCGAAUUGCCCUUCUUGCCUUUGCCGUUUCUCUUGAAACUAGUGGUCUUGCUCACCAUCAACACUUGAUGCUCUUUACGGAGUUCAGACUCUGCGACUUUCAGCAUCGCAAACAACUCGCCGGGAGACUUGUUCAUCCCUUGCAUGUUGUAGUUCAACACAAAGCCUUUAUAGCUUGGCGGCAGUGAUUGAAGGAUUCUGUCAGUGAUAGCCUCUUGCGGGAGUUCAAUCCCCAGCUCAGCCAGACGGUUUGAGUACCCAGACAUUUUGAGCACAUGUUCACUGACAGACGAGUUUUCCUCCAUCUUGCAAGCAUAGAAUUUAUCGGAGGUCUCAUACCUCUCGAUCCAGGCGUUCUUCUGAAAGAUAAACUUCAACACCUGGAACAUCUCAAAUGCUCCAUGACGCUCAAAGCGACGUUGAAGUCCCGGUUCUAAGCCAUACAAGACUGCACAUUGAACUAUUGAGUAGUCCUCCUUACGCGCUAACCAAGCGUUCUUAACAUCCUGAUCAGCCGUAGCGGGUGGUUCAUCUCCUAGCGCAGCAUCAAGGACAUAAUCCUUCUUCCCAGCUUGUAAGAUUAGCUUAAGAUUACGAGCCCAGUCUACAAAGUUGCUUCCAUCAUCUUUCAACUUAGCUUUCUCUAGGAACGUAUUAAAAUUCAGGAUGACACUUGCGUCAGCCAUGAUCUACAACACAAAUAUAUUCAAAGUGGACUUAGACUAUGUUCAAGAUAAUAAGAGUUUAACUUAAUCAAAUUAUAUGCUAAACUCCCACUCAAAAAGUACAUCUCUCUAGUCAUUUGAGUGGUUCAUGAUCCACUUACACUAUCCCAAGUCCGGUCAUCACGUGAGUUGAGUAUAGUUUCAGUGGUAAGCAUCCCUAUGCUAAUCAUAUCAACUAUAUGAUUCAUGAUCGACCUUUCGGUCUCAUGUGUUCCGAGGCCAUGUCUGCACAUGCUAGGCUCGUCAAGCUUAACCCGAGUGUUCCGCGUGCGCAACUGUUUUGCACCCGUUGUAUGUGAACGUUGAGUCUAUCACACCCGAUCAUCACGUGGUGUCUCGAAACGACGAACUGUAGCAACGGUGCACAGUCGGGGAGAACACAAUUUCGUCUUGAAAUUUUAGUGAGAGAUCACCUCAUAAUGCUACCGUCGUUCUAAGCAAAAUAAGGUGCAUAAAAGGAUUAACAUCACAUGCAAUUCAUAAGUGACAUGAUAUGGCCAUCAUCACGUGCUUCUUGAUCUCCAUCACCAAAGCACCGGCACGAUCUUCUUGUCACCGGCGCCACACCAUGAUCAUCCAUCAACAUGUUGACAUCGGGGUUGUCGUGCUACUUAUGCUAUUACUACUAAAGCUACAUCCUAGCAAAAUAGUAAACGCAUCUGCAAGCACAAACGUUAGUAUAAAGACAACCCUAUGGCUCCUGCCGGUUGCCGUACCAUCGACGUGCAAGUCGAUAUUUCUAUUACAACAUGAUCAUCUCAUACAUCCAAUAUAUCACAUCACAUCAUUGGCCAUAUCACAUCACAAUCAUACCCUGCAAAAACAAGUUAGACGUCCUCCAAUUUUGUUGUUGCAUGUUUUACGUGGUGACCAAGGGUAUCUAGUAGGAUCGCAUCUUACUUACGCAAACACCACAACGGAGAUAUAUGAGUUGCUAUUUAACCUCAUCCAAGGACCUCCUCGGUCAAAUCCGAUUCAACUAAAGUUGGAGAAACCGUCACUUGCCAGUCAUCUUUGAGCAAAGGGGGUUACUCGUAACGAUGAAACCAGUCUCUCGUAAGCGUACGAGUAAUGUCGGUCCAAGCCGCUUCAAUCCAACAAUACCGCGGAAUCAAGAAAAGACUAAGGAGGGCAGCAAAACGCACAUCACCGCCCACAAAAACUUUUGUGUUCUACUCGAGAAGACAUCUACGCAUGAACCUAGCUCAUGGUGCCACUGUUGGGGAACGUCGCGUGGGAAACAAAAAAUUUCCUACGCGCACGAAGACCUAUCAUGGUGAUGUCCAUCUAUGAGAGGGGAUGAGUGAUCUACGUACCCUUGUAGAUCGUACAGCAGAAGCGUUAGAGAACGCGAUUGAUGUAGUGGAACGUCCUCACGUCCCUCGAUCCGCCCCGCGAACAAUCCCGCGAUCAGUCCCACGAUCUAGUACCGAACGGACGGCACCUCCGCAUUCAGCACACGUACAGCUCGACGAUGAUCUCGGCCUUCUUGAUCCAGCAAGAGAGACGGAGAGGUAGAAGAGUUCUCCGGCAGCGUGACGGCGCUCCGGAGGUUGGUGAUGAUCUUGUCUCAGCAGGGCUCCGCCCGAGCUCCGCAGAAACGCGAUCUAGAGGAAAAACUAUGGAGGUAUGUGGUCGGGCAGCCGUGAGAAAGUCGUCUCAAAUCAGCCCUAAUUGCUCCAUAUAUAUAGGAGGAGGGAGGGGGGGCCUUGCCUUGGGGGUCCAAGGACCCCCAAGGAGUCGGCCGAGCCAAGGGGGGGAGGACUCCCCCCCCCCAAACCGAGUUGGACUUGGUUUGGUGGGAGGAGUCCCCCUCCCUUCCCACUUCCUCCCUCUUUUUUUUCUCUUUUCCUUUGAUUUCUUAUUCUUGGCGCAUAGGCCCCCUUGGGGCUGUCCCACCAGCCCACUAAGGGCUGGUGUGUCUCCCCAAAGCCUAUGGGCUUCCCCAGGGUGGGUUGCCCCCCCCCCCCGGUGAACUCCCGGAACCCAUUCGUCAUUCCCGGUACAUUCCCGGUAACUCCGAAAACCUUCCGGUAAUCAAAUGAGGUCAUCCUAUAUAUCAAUCUUCGUUUCCGGACCAUUCCGGAAACCCUCGUGACGUCCGUGAUCUCAUCCGGGACUCCGAACAACAUUCGGUAACCAACCAUAUAACUCAAAUACGCAUAAAACAACGUCGAACCUUAAGUGUGCAGACCCUGCGGGUUCGAGAACUAUGUAGACAUGACCCGAGAGACUCCUCGGUCAAUAUCCAACAGCGGGACCUGGAUGCCCAUAUUGGAUCCUACAUAUUCUACGAAGAUCUUAUCGUUUGAACCUCAGUGCCAAGGAUUCGUAUAAUCCCGUAUGUGAUUCCCUUUGUCCUUCGGUACGUUACUUGCCCGAGAUUCGAUCGUCAGUAUCCGCAUACCUAUUUCAAUCUCGUUUACCGACAAGUCUCUUUACUCGUUCCGUAAUACAAGAUCCCGCAACUUACACUAAGUUACAUUGCUUGCAAGGCUUGUGUGUGAUGUUGUAUUACCGAGUGGGCCCUGAGAUACCUCUCCGUCAUACGGAGUGACAAAUCCCAGUCUUGAUCCAUACUAACUCAACUAACACCUUUGGUGAUACCUGUAGAGCAUCUUUAUAGUCACCCAGUUACGUUGCGACGUUUGAUACACACAAAGCAUUCCUCCGGUGUCAGUGAGUUAUAUGAUCUCAUGGUCAUAGGAAUAAAUACUUGACACGCAGAAAACAGUAGCAACAAAAUGACACGAUCAACAUGCUACGUCUAUUAGUUUGGGUCUAGUCCAUCACGUGAUUCUCCUAAUGACAUGAUCCAGUUAGCAAGAAACAACAUCUUGUUCAUAAUCAGAAGGCACUGACUAUCUUUGAUCAACCAGCUAGCCAACUAGAGGCUUGCUAGGGACGGUGUUUUGUCUAUGUAUCCACACAUGUAAAUGAGUCUUCAUUCAAUUAAAUUAUAGCAUGGAUAAUAAACGAUUACCUUGAUACAGGAAUUAUAAUAAUAACUAUAUUUAUUAUUGCCUCUAGGGCAUAAUUCCAACAGUGACACCCUUCGGCCUCUUUAGUUCUCUCCCGGGUGAGUGACCCCUUGAUACGUCUCCAUCGUAUCUACUUUUCCAAACUCUUUUGCCCUUGUUUUGGACUCUAAUUUGCAUGAUUUGAAUGGAACUAACCUGGACUGACGCUGUUUUCAGCAGAAUUGCCUUGGUGUUAUUUUUGUGCAGAAAUCAAAGUUCUCCAACGUCCUGAAAAUCUACGGGGAGUAGUUUUGGAAAAUAUAAAAAAUAUCUGCGCCAAGUUCCACCUGAGGGGGUGGGCCAGUGGGCCACAAGCCCUGGCUCCGCCACCACCCCCCUGGUGGAGGUGGGCAGGCUUGUGGGGCCCUCACGGCUCUGCCGCCCCCAACCUCAGGUCUAUAAGUUCACUUUCGUCCCAGAAAAAAUAAAAAGAGAGGUUUUCGUCGCGUUUGCGAUACGGAGGCGCCGCCACCACCUGUUCUUCAUCUGGAGGGCAGAUCUGGAGUCCGUCUUGGGCUCCGGAGAGGGGAAAUCGUCGCCAUCGUCAUCAUCAACCUUCUUCCCUCUCCAAUUCCACGAAGCUCUUCAUCGUUCGUGAGUAAUCUAUUCGUAGGCUCGCUGGGCGGUGAUGAGUAGGAUGAUAUCUAUCAUGUAAUCGAGUUAGUUUUGAUGGGGAUUGAUCCCUAGUAUCCACUAUGUUUUGAGGUUGAUGUUGCUACUACUUUGCCAUGCUUAAUGCUUGUCACUAGGGCCCGAGUGCCAUGAUUUCAGAUCUGAAAUUAUUAUGUUGUCACCAAUAUAUGUGUGUUUUAGAUCCGAUCUUGGAAGUUGUAGUUACCUACUAUGUGUUAUGAUCCGGCAACCCCGGAGUGACAAUAACCGGAACCACUCCCGGUGAUGACCAUAGUUUGAGGAGUUCAUGUGUUCACCAAGUGCUAAUGCAUUGGUCCGGUUCUUUAUUAAAAGGAGAACCUUAAUGUCCCGUAGUUUCCUUUUGGACCCCGCUGCCACGGGAGGGAUGGACAAUAGAUGCAAUGCAAGUUCUUUUCCCUAAGCACGUAUGACGACACACGGAAUGCAUGCCUACAUCACAUUGACGAACGAGAGCUAGCCACAUAUCUCUCCGUGUGUAGUGCCCCAAGUGUAAAGCUUUCCCUUUUUGUAACCUUCCAUGUGGGACCACCUUGACAUUGUCAUGAGAGCUAUCUAUGCAUGUAUGAAUUCAUGUGUUCACCUUGUAUUUCUUCUUUUGCAUGCAUGCAUCCAUGCCAUACCAUUCUUACCAUGCCUUGUUUUGCUUGCAUCUAUACCUUGCCAUGUCAUAGAGUGGAGACUUGUGAUUUCAUGUGUUGAUGCACAUGUGAUGAUGGUGUGUGGAGUGUAAGAGUGGUUGCUAGGUAUUUUCAAAGUUCCUUGCAAUUCAAACCCUUUUUCUUCCUUUUACCUCAUGUUCAAAAUUACAUCUUCCCAAAAGCUGUUCUAAAAUGUCUUGUGAUUAGGGUUUAUUGUGGGAAUGAUGAUGUGUGUAUUUGCUGUAUUGUAUCUUGAUUUCAAGGGUGCAAAUAAACCCAAAACAGUAAAUUAAUUACUGUUUUGCAUUUAUUCCAAAUUGCUCCAAAUAUUGUUUUUCUAUUUUAUUCAAAUAGGCCAUAAUUCCUUAUGGCCACGGGCAUUUUUGCUUUGAUUUUAACCCCAACAGAACUGCCAGUGGAUUUAAGUCCUAGCUGUGUUUAUUUAAAGAAAGUUCAAAACCCUCUCAGCCCCUCUCCUCUAACUGACGCCGGUGGCAAGCAAACCAGCGCGGCCCAGCCCACUCCUUCCCAGCUCACACACGCGGGCGUCGUCCUCCUCCCCUUUCCAGCGAGGCAGGCGGCCCCACAAGUUAGCCUCUCACCUCGCUCCUCUCUGCUUUCCACCGAAGCUCCCCGCACGCACAUGGCAGCGCCGCGAUCCUCACCUCUCCUUCCCUCUAUUUAACCCCCCUUGGCGUCUGUGCAUCCGUGUUAGGGUUCCUCCCCGCCGCCGCAACGCCCAGAUCCCGAUCCACCUCUCUCUCUCUCGCCGCAACAAGUGAGGACCGCACGGGAUCGCCAUGGCCGACGGGUAGCAGCUCGCCGUCGCCAUCGAUCUACUUCCCCUGCUUCCUCUACGACGACGCCAACAGCUCGAGGGUGCCUCCAGGAGCCCGUUCCCGGCGCAAGACCGACCUCCCCCGCGCUACGUCCACUGCCUCCCGGCGGCGCGUCCCCUCCGACGAGAAGCCUCCCCGACGGUCUUCCUCCUCUACUUCCUCUACGAGCCGAUCCUCUCCUUGACUCGUACACGAGGUAGCGCUUCUCCUCCCUCCUCCCUGUCCCAGAUCGGGUGCGGUAACCGUAGGUUGUCACGCGCUUGCUCUCUGUCGCCGGCACCGCCGCUCGCCGUCGCUGUGCCGUAGUAGGGCCGCUCGGGUGCAGCUAGCACAUGAAAUGGACCCGUGCGUGUGUGGGCUUACUCCCCCCCACGGGCCGUUGCUCGAUUUGUACCACGUCGCUGGCGAGGGCCUUCCCCUAUUUCGGUUCGUCGCCGACAGUAGAUCAGCAGAGGGAUGCUCCUUCAGAUGUUUUGUAGCGUGUAUUAUUUCAGACUCCGUAGCGUAGCCAAGUGGUUUGAUCCCUGUUGUGCCUGAUGCAGGUGCUGGGUUCGAUCCCUCCCCGCGGCACCUUUUUGUUUCUCGAAUUAUCAGCACAGUUUACUGCAGGGAUGGCCUCACCUUGCUUGAACCCUCUGUUUUGUCGAAUAGUUGACAGUAGCAGAGUGGUAGAGGGUAGUUUGUGGCAUCAGAGGGUACUGGGUUCGAAUCCCAGGUGCCCCUGUUGUAUUUUUACCAUUCCUUUUAUUUCUUUUGCUUGUCCUACCAUAUUUGUGCCUAACCCAUAGGCAUUAAAGUGGACCAGAGGCAGGAUCUUUGGUUGUGUGUGUGUGUGCACACACUUGUGAUAGUGCAAGUGAUGUGUGUAUGUGUUUAUGUGGCUUAGUUGAAAAGUGGCUCAUGUGAUCUUGCUAGUGUGUUUGGGUGUGUAGUACUUGCAAAGUAUGUGCAUUGUGGAAUAGGUGAGAUGUGUGUGUUGAGGUGAUGUGUGUGUAAGUAGGGUACACAUAUGUGGUACCUAGCAGGAGUGUAUGUAUGUGUGGAUCCAUGUUUACUUGCAUAGCAGUUGUUCCUUCAUGUUGUGCUUGAGAUUAAGUGCUUGUGAUGAGGGUAUUGUGAUGAUAUGUGUGUGGUGAUAACAGCCCCAUUUUCAACACUUGUGCACCUCCUCAUGUUCAUAUGAGAGAGGACAUGAUGUGUGUGUGUGUGAGGGUGAUCUAGUGAAAGUUGUGCUAGUGGUGUUGAUAUGCAUAACACAUACAUGGGGUUCAAACCCCCAUGUCACUUUUUCAUUGUGCACAUGAGCUCAACCUUUGUAGUUGUUGACUUAGUAGGAACUACAUGAAAUGAUGCCCAUUCCCUAGGCAUGAUUUGGAGUAGUUUCCUCUCCCUUAUUUUGUGGUCACUUGUUCCAAGUAAGUGCCCACAUAUUAUAUAUGAUUUUGGGGUAGAAUCUCCCAAGGAAUCCAGUGGUGAAGUUAGUUUUUCCAUUACGAUACUUUAUGGAGUUGACAUAUUCAGAUUUGUUGCAAGUUUGAUCUUUGAUUCCAUGGAAUAGGUGGAGCCCAAGGGCAUGAGUUUUUGUGUGAUAGUAGUAGGGGUUUUGCUCUACACCAUAGUGGUUUCAUAUAUCACUUGGUGUUACUUGUGUGCAAACUAUGCCUAGACAAAGUGGGCAUGUGGUUGAAAAUUCCAGUUUAGUGAAAUCUGGAAUUUCACUAAGUCUGGGAUUCUGGAAACAUUUUCUUCUCUUAUAGAUGAGGAUGUGCUGGUCAUUGUGUUGAGAUAUAGCCUUAGUUCAGUGCUAGGAUUUUGGACCUGAUAUGUUUGUGAUGCUUCCUGUCAAAUUUCAAAUCAUUUCGAGUCCAGUAGGUUGUGUUUUGAUUGCUGUCAAAAAGCUUCAGAACAAAGACAGAAAUUCAGGUGCAGGAAUUUUCACCAAGUCCCUGAGAUCUGAUGGUUUUGGGGAAGUUUGUGGCCUUGUAUAUUAAUUCCUUUUGCUGUGAUUCUUGCUGGUGCUUGUAGGGUUCUUAGUGGGCUACAGCCACAUAUAUUAUUUGACAUAUUUGGUGGCCUGUAGCUAUGUUGCAUGUAGCUCACAAAGUGCUAAUAUGCAGUUUAUGGCAGAUUAUGUAGUUUUGUCAUUUUGAUGAUUGUGUGUGCUUAGUGGAUGUGGUGGUGCUCUUCCUUGCUCCAAUCCAUUCAUGUGGGAGUGGUACAUGUCUUGGCAACCUGGGAAUACCAGAUUUGUGCCAAUUGUGAGUGUGGUGUUGAUUCUUACACGUAGAGCUUCAUAUCUUGUUUCGUUGAUUCCCGUUGAACCGUAGCUCCGUUCGCAAUGUUCUUUAUAUGUUUUUGCAUAGUUUUCACGAGACGCAUCUCUUCAUGCCAUUCUCAUGCAUGUAAAAAUAUCCUAGUUUACAGUUCUGUCCAGAAACUUAUAGUAGUUCUUUUGCUUGUGCUAGUGAUAGAAAUAGUGAUGCAUGCUCAUUUUUCAUCUCAUGCAUCAUGUGAUUGUUGCAUCUUGUGGUGCUGCUGUUCAUUGGCUGUUAUUCUUAUGUUGGGUAGCACCGGGAUCGGAGAACGAAUACGUGGAGUCAGGAGAGUACGUGCAGGACGAUCCAGGACCAUUCCAAGCUGAGGAUAUCACAUGCAAGAUGAUAUGACCUUGAUUCCAUCUCUAGACUUGUUAUGCUAGUUUCGUUUACUUGUCAUAUUGCUUGCUGCCUACCACUGAAAUUAAAUUGCCUCUUCAUAUGCCAUGAGCCCAAACACUGUUCCCCUUCCUAGCAAAACUUGUAUGGCUAAGUAGGCUUUGCUCAGCUACUAAUGUUAGCGUUGCUAGAUGCAGGUCCUUUGACUCAUUUGAUAACAUGAGCUUUGAUAUACUUAUCUUAAAUUCUGUUAAUUAAUGAAUGCACCUAUAUACUUGGUAAAUGACGGGAGGCCUAGCCUUUUGCCGGGUGCUUUGUUCCGUUAUUGCCGCCUUAGUUACCGGUUACCGGUGUUUGAUUCCAUAAUGAUCGCUCCUAACACGUUCGGGGUUGUUAUGGGGACCCCCUUGAUAAAUCGCCUAGUGCUACGGCUUGUCCGGCAGGACCCAACAUUGGUUUUAAUCUGCUAAUCACACAAUAAUCCACAUAGGGAAUAGCUACCCCGAGGAAUUUAAUCAACAACCUGGGCUAGUGCUCCUCACGAGUGUUGGCCCCACCUGAGCGAUGUCCGGGGCCCCACUGGUCACCCAGAGGUUUAGCCAUCCCGACGUCUAGCUCAUCCUCGUGUCCUGAGACUGAGAUACGUGGCUCUUAUCAGGGUCGUCGACACGAUGGGAGGUCCUGCUAGCCUUGUCUUACCUUAGCGGUAUAUCUUGCGUAUAGGAAUCCGAGUGAAGCUUUGGUUUCCCCCAGAGUUGAGGUUUUCCUCUAAGGAAUCCGACAAGAUCAUGAGAUUCGUGAUAGAGGAUGCCUUUGCGGCAUGUGUUUGUUUAUGAUGGACUAGUUGGAGCACCCCUACAGGGUUUAAUCUUUCGGAAAGCCGUGCCCGCGGUUAUGUGGCAACUUGGAAUAUUUUGUUAACAUCCGGUAUUAGAGAACUUGAACAUAAGCUAAUAAAAUUGCCAACUGUGUGCAUACCCGUGACAGUCCCCUCGAAGAUCCCUCUUCGAUCGGGAACACGGUGGGGUUAUGAAUGCCGUAGGUAGGUGGUCAGGAUCACUUAGUGAUCAAGUAUUCCCGACCGCUAGUGUAGACCACCUUCACAAUUACUUCGCGUAAGUUAGCCACUUAAUCAAGCUUAGGAUGCUGCAGCCUUAUACACUUCACCCUUACCCUACCUAAUAACAUGACUAGUUCUGGCACCAAGGUCUUAGAUUGCUGAGUCCCCGUGGCUCACGGAUUCCUCCGAAACUCCCAGCAGGUACAGGUACCCCAGAUAUAGAUGAUCCCGACGGCACCCAGCUGGCGUGGCAGUACGACGAGGAGACAGACCGCCUCUACGUGACCUAUCCAGGGGACUGAGGCGUGGUCGUGAUCGUGGGCCUGCAGGCAGGGUAGCAUAGCAUUUCCAUGUUUUGUAGUCCGUAGCGGAACUACCUUGAUUGUAUCUGUGAUGUACUCUGAGUUAUUAAUAAGAAGACAGUUGAAUCCCGAAUUGUCUACUUUUAUUGUUAUUUGUGCUAUGUUACUUGCUUGCGAAAUGCUUAGAUGCGUUUCUUUCCUAUUCGGGGGCCUCGACCCCCAGAUCGGAAAGGACCGCAUCUUGGUCGUUACAAGUUGGUAUCAAAGCCUUACGACCAUAGGAGCUUUUGUGUGAUCGUACUUGGCCAAGUUGAGUCUAGAAAAUGUUUUGAGUCUUAGUUAUAUCGGAGAGUAGGAUCUUUUUUCUCCUCUUCUAUGCUCUGGUGAGGUUCCCGUCUUAGGAAAUCUUUAACUCUACUCCUUUUCUCGCUCAAAUUUUUUUUUAGGAUCACGCGGGUAUUUGUGAAAUCUAUAUGAUUUUGAUGUGACGGAAUCCUGUCCUGGUGCCUCCUAUCUGCUCUAAGUGUCAGGGGAGUUGAGCUCCAGGGAUUCUUGCGCACAUUGCCAUCAUUCAGAUUUCUGAGUAUCUAAGAAGAGAGGGUGUUCGUUAUUGCUUCAAUACGGGUAGUGGUGAGAUAACCCCGAUGUCCCCAGUACCGGUGUAGAUUGUUCGGGGGUAUUACCACACUUUGUAUCGUUGUGAUCACGAGGAUCUAUUGUAGAUGAAGGUCCGAGAUGCUGGUUGUGUGUUGAAGGAUGUGAUACAGGUGACGAGUUAGUUUAGGAGUUGUGUGAAAUACUCCUUGUAUCCGUGUACCUGAUUGCAUGACCAGUUAUUUCGAGAAUUCAUAGGUGGGAUAUCUAGUAGUAUCUUAUAGGACUAUCUUCCUACAGACGCUUGAUUGAUGUUUGGGAAAUCUCAGUCAUAUGUUUGUUCCGAGCAGUUCUAGCUCACACUUGUUUGAAGUGGUCCUUAUCGGAAUUUUGUCGUCUGUUACUUUGAGGAUGCACUCUUGCUAUGUUGUUCGAGUGCAAUGCUAAAUUCUGUUCAGAUAUUCCUGUCUUUUGAUUUAGCAAUAUCUUCAAUUAUUCUGUGGACUAAUAUGCUGUCCGUCUUCAGGAUGGCUCCACCGACUCGUCAGACCCCAGGGCGUGAGGAUAUGUCGCCUCCACCUCCUCAUCCUCCUCCUCCGCCGCCUCCUCCUGCAGAGGCCUGGUAGGCGAUGAUGGCAGCUACUAAUGCAAACACUCAGAUGCUGUUGCAGUUGAUCCAGGAGAGAGCCAAUCAUCAGCAGGGCAAUUUUCAGCAGGGUGGCAAUCACUUCGCCAAUCUGAGUCAGUUCCUGUCAAACCAGCCUAAGACGUUCACUUCUUGCGACCAGCCGUUUGAUGCAGAAGAUUGGAUCCGUGAUAUGAACAAGCAUUUCGAGUGUAGCAAUGUGCGUCCGGAGGACUAUGUCAAGUUUGCUACGUUUUAGUUGAAGGGGCAGGCUUCUAUUUGGUGGCAGCAGCUUAAGGACUCUAGAGGUGACAUGGUGAUGUCUUGGGACGAGUUUUGUCGUGACUUCAGAUCCCACUACACCCCUUCCAGUUUUGUUGAGGAGAUGCGUGAGAAGUUCAGGCGUUUGAAGCAGGGCAGCAAUUCUAUGUACAAGUACAAUGUCGAGUUCCACGAGCUGGCCCGUUACGCGCUGCAGGAUGUCCCGGAUCAGAAGAGCAAGAUCUACCAGUUCAGGGGUGGUUUAAAGGAGGAUUUGCAGUUAGCGCUUGCUUUGCACGAUCCAGAGGAGUUUGACAAGUUCUACAACUUAGCUCUCCGAGCAGAGGCAGCCUUGCUCAGGGUGGAAACCUCAAAGAAACGCUUCAGAGAUUCCAGCUCUUCCUCGACUCAGGUGGUUCAGAAGCAACAGAGGUUUUGGGUUUCUCCUCCUCCUCGGCACUCACAGCAGCUGAAGCACUCAGGUGGACGUGGUUCUUCCUGUUGGAACUAUGCCCUAGAGGCAAUAAUAAAUUAGUUAUUAUUAUAUUUCUUUGUUCAUGAUAAUCGUUUAUUAUCCAUGCUAUAAUUGUAUCGAUUGGAAACACAAUACUUGUGUGGAUACAUAGACAAAACACUGUCCCUAGUAAGCCUCUAGUUGACUAGCUCGUUGAUCAAAGAUGGCCAAGGUUUCCUGGCCAUAGGCAAGUGUUGUUACUUGAUAACGGGAUCACAUCAUUAGGAGAAUCAUGUGAUGGACUGGACCCAAACUAAUAGACGUAGCAUGUUGAUCGUGUCAUUUUGUUGCUACUGUUUUCUGCGUGUCAAGUAUUCGUUCCUAUGACCAUGAGAUCAUAUAACUCACUGACACCGGAGGAAUGCUUUGUGUGUAUCAAACGUCGCAAUGUAACUGGGUGACUAUAAAGAUGCUCUACAGGUAUCUCCGAAGGUGUUAGUUGAGUUAGUAUGGAUCGAGACUGGGAUUUGUCACUCCGUGUGACGGAGAGGUAUCUCGGGGCCCACUCGGUAAUACAACAUCAUACACAAGCCUUGCAAGUAAUGUGACUUAGUGUAAGUUGCGGAUCUUGUAUUACGGAACGAGUAAAGAGACUUGCCGGCAAAUGAGAUUGAAAUAGGUAUGCGGAUACUGAUGAUCGAAUCUCGGGCAAGUAACAUACCGAAGGACAAAGGGAAUGACAUACGGGAUUAUAUGAAUCCUUGGCACUAAGGUUCAAACGAUAAGAUCUUCGUAGAAUAUGUAGGAUCCAAUAUGGGCAUCCAGGUCCCGCUAUUGGAUAUUGACCGAGGAGUCUCUCGGGUGAUGUCUACAUAGUUCCUGAACCCGUAGGGUCUGCACACUUAAGGUUCGACAUUGUUUUAUGCGUAUUUGAGUUAUAUGGUUGGUUACCGAAUGUUGUUCGGAGUCCCGGAUGAGAUCACGGAUGUCACGAGGGUUUUCGGAAUGGUCCGGAAACGAAGAUUGAUAUAUAGGAUGACCUCAUUUGAUUACCGGAAGGUUUUCGGAGUUACCGGGAAUGUACCGGGAAUGACGAAUGGGUUCCGGGUGUUCACCGGGGGGGGGGGGCAACCCACCCCGGGGAAGCCCAUAGGCCUUGGGGGUGGCGCACCAGCCCUUAGUGGGCUGGUGGGACAGCCCAAGAAGGCCCUAUGCGCCAUAGGAAGAAAAUCAAAGAGAAAAGAAAAAAAAAGAGCAGGUGGGAAAAGGGGGAAGGACUCCUCCUUCCAAACCUAGUUGGACUCGGUUUGGAAGGGGAGGGUUGCCCCCCUUGGCUCGGCCGACCCCCUUGGGAGUCCUUGGACCCCAAGGCAAGGCUCCCCCUCCUCCCCCUAUAUAUACGCAGGUUUUAGGGCUGAUUUGAGACAACUUUGCCACGACAGCCCGACCACAUAUCUCCACGGUUUCACCUCUAGAUCGCGUUUCUGCGGAGCUCGGGCGGAGCCCUGUGAGAUAAGAUCACCACCAACCUCCGUAGCUCCGUCACGCUGGCGGAGAACUCAUCUACCUCUCCAUCACUCUUGCUGGAUCAAGAAGGCCGAGAUCAUCGUCGAGCUGUACGUGUGCUGAACGCGGAGGUGCCGUCCGUUCGGCACUAGAUCGUGGGACUGAUCGCGGGACGGUUCGCGGGGCGGAUCGAGGGACAUGAGGACGUUCCACUACAUCAACUGUGUUCACUAAUGCUUCUGCUGUGCGGUCUACAAGGGUACCUAGAUCGAACAUCCCCUCUCGUAGAUGGACAUCACCAUGAUAGGUCUUCGUGCGCGUAGGAAAUUUUUUGUUUCCCAUGCGACGUUCCCCAACAGUUCCCACCCACCCAACCCUGGCUUCCAGCAGAGAUACCAGCAUUAGAAGCAAGGGACUCCUCAGUCUCAGUUCCAGCAGCCAGUAGAUGUCACUUGUCACUAAUGUGGGCAGAAGGGUCACUAUGCCAACAAAUGCACUUCUCAGCUCCGUCUGCCUCCUCCUCCUCUAGGCAAACUUCCAAGCAACGCUCUUGUCAAAUUCAACCCCAGAUCAUCUCGAGUCAACAUGGUGAAUGCAGUUGAAGCAGACAACUCCUCUGAUGUGAUCAUGGGUAACCUCCUCGUCAAUGAUAUUACUGCUAAAGUGUUAUUUGAUUCUGGUGCUUCGCAUUCGUUCCUCUCGAUUCCAUUUGCAUCCAAGCAUAAUGUUCUUGUUGAAGAGCUUCCUAGUCCUUUGGCAGUAGUUUCACCAGGCAAGUUCAUGCAUGCUAGUACUCGUGCUCCCGUUGUUUCUAUCAAGAUGGGCAAUUAUUCUUUUCUGGCCUCUCCGUAUGUCUUGGGCAAGUCCGACAUCGACUUGAUUCUUGGUAUGGACUGGUUGGCCAUGAACAAGGCAUCAAUUGAUUGUGAAGCUAAAGAAGUCAAGCUUACUCACUCUUUGGAGGAUGUGAUUAUAUUCGCGGCGCGCGAUGAUACAAUCCGUUUGUUCUCCUUGAAUGAAAAGGGUGAGAUCAAUCCUAUUGAGCAAGUUCCAGUAGUCUGCGAAUAUCAAGAUGUGUUUCCUGAAGAGCUGCCAGGCAUGCCUCCGCACCGUGAAGUUGAGUUCGUCAUUGAGCUUAAGCCAGGCACAGAGCCAGUGUGCAAACGGCCGUACAAGCUGGGUCCAGAAGAGUUGAAGGAACUCAAGAGGCAACUCGAUGAGCAGGAGCGUUAGGGUUUGAUGAGACCAAGCUCGUCUCCGUGGGGAUGUGGUGUUCUAUUUUUCAAGAAGAAGGAUGGUUCGGACCGGCUGUGUGUCGAUUACCGCCCAUUGAACAAGAAGACAAUCAAGAACAAAUAUCCACUUCCGAACAUAACUGAGUUGUUCGAACAGUUGAAAGGUGCUAAAGUAUUGUCCAAGCUUGAUCUCAGAAUGGGCUAUCAUCAGAUUCGCAUUCGCGAGGAAGACAUUCCGAAGACGGCCUUCAGGACUAGUUUUGGCUCGUAUGAGUAUACGGUCAUGUCUUUUGGUCUGGCUAAUGCUCCUCCGACUUUUUGUCGAUUGAUGAACUAUAUUUUCUCACCAUACAAGAAUGAAUUUGUCUUGCUCUAUCUCGACGACAUUCUGGUCUUUUCUGAGGAUGAGGAAGAACAUGAGAGACAUCUCAGGUUGGUGCUUGAUAAACUGAGAGAAUACAAGCUGUAUGCCAAGUUUUCCAAGUGCGAGUUCUGGCUGAAAGAAGUGGUUUAUCUUGGGCAUAUUAUCUCUACCGAGGGCAUUAAGGUUGACCCAUCCAAGGCUCAAGCCAUUGUUGACUGGGAACCUCCGCAGAAUGUGAAGCAGCUUCGAAGCUUUCUCGGGCUUGCCGAAUAUUGCAGAAGAUUCGUUGAGAACUUCUCCAAAAUCGCCAAGCCGCUCUCUAGUCUUCUUCAGAAGGGUGUCAAGUAUGUUUGGUCUCCAGAAUGUCAACUGGCUUUCGAUACACUCAAAGAGAAGCUUAUCUCCACUCCGUUAUUGGCCCCUCCGGAUGAUUCCAAGCCGUACCAGGUCUUUUGCGACGCAUCUCUCCAGGGUCUUGGUGCAGUCUUGAUGCAAGAUAGGAAGGUGGUUGCUUAUACCUCCAGGCAGCUGAAGCCUGCGGGGAAGAACUAUCCUGUGCAUGAUCUCGAGCUAGCAGCUGUUGUGCACGCCUUGAUGACUCGGAGACAUCUCUUGUUGGAACGUAAGGUUGAAGUUUUCACCGAUCACAAGAGUCUCAAGUAUAUCUUCACUCAGCCUAACUUGAAUCUUCGGCAAACACGUUGGGUGGAAAUGCUCCAGGAUUUUAAUCCGAGUGUUGAGUACACGCCAGGCAAGGCAAAUGUUGUGGCAAAUGCAUUGAGCAGGAAGGCAUAUUGCAACAGUCUGAUUCUGCAACCUCUCCAGCCGGGUCUUUCUGAGUCUUUCAGGAAGCUCAAUCUUCAGCUAGUUCCUCAGGGUUUUCUUGCGAACCUUUAGAUCUCUCCUACCUUGGAAGAUCAGGUCAGAGCAGCUCAGCUACUUGACGCUAUGGUGAAAAAGGUCAAGAUUGGCAUGGGAAAGAGUCUCCCCAAGUAUAAGUGUUUCACUGUUGAUGCCAGGGACACAUUGUUUUUCGAGGAUCGCCUUGUCGUCCCGAAAGGUGAUCUCAGGAAGGUGAUCAUGGAAGAAGCUCAUAACUCUCUGCUCUCUAUUCAUCCUGGAAGUUCCAAAAUGUACCAUGACUUGAAGCAGACUUUCUGGUGGACUCGUAUGAAACGCGAAAUUGCACAAUUCGUAAACGAGUGUGAUGUAUGUCGAAGGGUGAAAGCAGAACAUCAAAGACCAGCAGGCCUCUUGCAGCCUUUGCCGAUUCCCGAGUGGAAGUUUGAUCACAUUGAGAUGGAUUUCGUCACCGGGUUUCCGAAGUCCAAGAAGGGCAAUGAUGCUAUCUUCGUCGUCAUCGACAAAUUGAGUAAAGGUCCUCAUUUCCUUCCAGUCAAGGAGUCCAUUUCAGCAGCUCAGUUGGCAGAGUUGUACACCUCCAGUAUUGUCUCUUUGCACGGUGUACCUAUGAUGAUGUCGUCAGAUCGCGGAAGUAUCUUCACUUCCAAGUUCUGGGACUCCUUUCAGUCUGCUAUGGGCACGAAGAUUCGCUUCAGCACAACGUUCCAUCCUCAGACUAGUGGUCAAGUGGAGAGAGUGAAUCAAGUUCUUAAGGACAUGCUGAGAGCCUGUGUUAUCUCUUUUGGCAUAAAGUGGGAAGAUUGUCUGCCUUUCGCGGAGUUCUCGUAUAACAAUAGUUAUCAAGCUAGUUCUGGAUAGGCUUCGUUUGAAAUUCUCUAUGGCAGGAAGUGUCGUACUCCGCUCAACUGGUCCCAGACAGGCGAGCGUCAGAUCCUUGGCAAUAAUAUGAUCGAAGAAGCUGAGGAGAUGUGUCGGAUCAUUCGCGACAACCUCAGAGCAGCGCAGUCCCAUCAGAAGAGCUAUUACGAUAGCAAGCACCGUGACAUGUCGUAUGACCUUGAUGACUUUGUCUAUCUCAAAGUGUCACCUAUGAAGGGUAUGCAGCGCUUUGGCCUCAAAGGCAAGCUUGCGCCUCGUUUCGUUGGUCCGUUCAGAGUGGUUGGCAAGAGGGGUGACCUUGCAUACCAGCUCGAGCUUCCGUCAACCUUUGCAAAUGUCCAUGAUGUGUUCCAUGUUUCUCAGCUUCGGAGGUGUUUCAAGACCCCCGAGCGGACUGUGCAUCUUCAAGAUAUCGACCUUCAGCCUGACCUUUCUUAUCGGCAUCCAGUUGCGGUUCUCGAGGCGACUGAGCGCAAGACCCGUAACAAGACUGUCAAGUUUCUCAAAGUGCAGUGGUCUCACCAUACCGAUAAAGAGGCUACGUGGGAACGCGAGGAUCACCUCUGUUCCGAAUUUCCCGAUUUCUUUCAGGCGUAGAUCUCGGGGCGAGAUCUUCUUUGUAGUGUGGGAGAAUUUGUAGUGCCGCAAGUGUAAAGCUUUCCCUUUUUGUAACCUUCCAUGUGGGACCACCUUGACAUUGUCAUGAGAGCUAUCUAUGCAUGUAUGAAUUCAUGUGUUCACCUUGUAUUUCUUCUUUUGCAUGCAUGCAUCCAUGCCAUACCAUUCUUACCAUGCCUUGUUUUGCUUGCAUCUAUACCUUGCCAUGUCAUAGAGUGGAGACUUGUGAUUUCAUGUGUUGAUGCACAUGUGAUGAUGGUGUGUGGAGUGUAAGAGUGGUUGCUAGGUAUUUUCAAAGUUCCUUGCAAUUCAAACCCUUUUCCUUCCUUUUACCUCAUGUUCAAAAUUACAUCUUCCCAAAAGCUGUUCUAAAAUGUCUUGUGAUUAGGGUUUAUUGUGGGAAUGAUGAUGUGUGUAUUUGCUGUAUUGUAUCUUGAUUUCAAGGGUGCAAAUAAACCCAAAACAGUAAAUUAAUUACUGUUUUGCAUUUAUUCCAAAUUGCUCCAAAUAUUGUUUUUCUAUUUUAUUCAAAUAGGCCAUAAUUCCUUAUGGCCAGGGGCAUUUUUGCUUUGAUUUUAACCCCAACAGAACUGCCAGUGGAUUUAAGUCCUAGCUGUGUUUAUUUAAAAAAAGUUCAAAACCCUCUCAGCCCCACUCCUCUAACUAACGCCGGUGGCAAGCAAACCAGCGCGGCCCAGCCCACUCCUUCCUAGCUCACGCACGCGAGCGUCGUCCUCCUCCCCUUUCCAGCGAGGCAGGCGGCCCCACAAGUCAGCCUCUCACCUCGCUCCUCUCUGCUUUCCACCGAAGCUCCCCGCACGCACAUGGCAGCGCCGCGAUCCUCACCUCUCCUUCCCUCUAUUUAACCCCCCUUGGCGUCCGUGCAUCCGUGUUAGGGUUCCUCCUCGCCGUCGCAACGCCCAGAUCCCGAUCCACCUCUCUCUCUCUCGCCGCAGCAAGUGAGGACCGCACGGGAUCGCCAUGGCCGACGGGUAGCAUCUCGCCGUCGCCAUCGAUCUACUUCCCCUGCUUCCUCUACGACGACGCCAACAGCUCGAGGGUGCCUCCAGGAGCCCGUUCCCGGCGCAAGACCGACCUCCCCCGCGCUACGUCCACUGCCUCCCGGCGGUGCAUCCCCUCCGACGAGAAGCCUCCCCGACGGUCUUCCUCCUCUACUUCCUCUACGAGCCGAUCCUCUCCUCGACUCGUACACGAGGUAGCGCUUCUCUUCCCUCCUCCCUGUCCCAGAUCGGGUGCGGUAGCCGUAGGUUGUCACGCGCUUGCUCUCUGUCGCCGGCGCCGCCGCUCGCCGUCGUUGCGCCAUAGUAGGGCCCCUCGGGUGCAGCUAGCACAUGAAAUGGACCCGUGCGUGUGUGGGCUUACUCCCCCCCACGAGCCGUUGCUCGAUUUGCACCACGUCGCCGGCGAGGGCCUUCCCCUGUUUUGGUUCAUCGCCGACAGUAGAUCAGCAGAGGGAGGCUCCUUCAGAUGUUUUGUAGCGUGUAUUAUUUCAGACUCCGUAGCGUAGCCCAGUGGUUUGAUCCCUGUUGUGCGUGAUGCAGGUGCUGGGUUCGAUCCUUCCCCGCGGCACCUUUUUGUUUCUCUGAAUUAUCAGCACAGUUUACUGCAGGGAUGGCCUCACCUUGCUUGAACCCUCUGUUUUGUCGAAUAGUUGACAGUAGCAGAGUGGUAGAGGGUAGUUUGUGGCAUCAGAGGGUACUGGGUUCGAAUCCCAGGUGCCCCUGUUGUAUUUUUACCCUUCCUUUUAUUUCUUUUGUUUGUCCUACCAUAUUUCUGCCUAACCCAUAGGCAUUAAAGUGGACCAUUUUGAUUUCUUCUCCUGCUGUGCAUAGAUAGAGGAAGGAUCUUUGGUUGUGUGUGUGUGUGUGUGUGCACACUUGUGAUAGUGCAAGUGAUGUGUGUAUGUGUUUAUGUGGCUUAGUUGAAAAGUGGCUCAUGUGAUCUUGCUAGUGUGUUUGGGUGUGUAGUACUUGCAAAGUAUGUGCAUUGUGGAAUAGGUGAGAUGUGUGUGUUGAGGUGAUGUGUGUGUAAGUAGUGCACACAUAUGUGGUACCUAGCAGGAGUGUAUGUAUGUGUGGAUCCAUGUUUACUUGCAUAGCAGUUGUUCCUUCAUGUUGUGCUUGAGAUUAAGUGCUUGUGAUGAGGGUAUUGUGAUGAUAUGUGUGUGGUGAUAACAGCCCCAUUUGCAACACUUGUGCACCUCCUCAUGUUGAUAUGAGAGAGGGCAUGAUGUGUGUGUGUGAGGGUGAUCUAGUGAAAGUUGUGCUAGUGGUGUUGAUGUGCAUAACACAUACAUGGGGUUCAAACCCCCAUGUCACUUUGUCAUUGUGCACAUGAGCUCAACCUUUGUAGUUGUUGACUUAGUAGGAACUACAUGAAAUGAUGCCCAUUCCCUAGGCAUGAUUUGGAGUAGUUUCCUCUCCCUUAAUUUGUGGUCACUUGUUCCAAGUAAGUGCCCACAUAUUAUAUAUGAUUUUGGGGUAGAAUCUCCCAAGGAAUCCAGUGGUGAAGUUAGUUUUGCCAUUAGGAUAAUUUCUGGAGUUGACAUAUUCAGAUUUAUUGCAAGUUUGAUCUUUGAUUCCAUGGAAUAGGUGGAGCCCAAGGGCAUGAGUUUUUGUGUGAUAGUAGUAGGGUUUUGCUCUACACCAUAGUGGUGUCAUAUAUCACUUGGUGUUACUUGUGUGCAAACUAUGCCUAGACAAAGUGGGCAUGUGGCUGAAAAUUCCAGUUUAGUGAAAUCUGGAAUUUCACAAAGUCUGGGAUUCUGGAAACAUUUUCUUCUCUUAUAGAUGAGGAUGUGCUGGUCAUUGUGUUGAGAUCUAGCCUUAGUUCAGUGCUAGGAUUUUGGACCUGAUAUGUUUUUUAAGUUCCCUGUCAAAUUUCAAAUCAUUUGGAGUCUAGUAGGUUGUGUUUUGAUUGCUGUCAAAAAGCUUCAGAACAAAGACAGAAAUUCAGGUGCAGGAAUUUUCACCAAGUCCCUGAGAUCUGAUGGUUUUGGGGAAGUUUGUGGCCUUGUAUAUUAAUUCCUUUUGCUGUGAUUCUUGCUGGUGCUUGUAGGGUUCUUGGUGGGAUACAGCCACUUAUAUUAUUUGACAUAUUUGGUGGCCUGUAGCUAUGUUGCAUGUAGCUCACAAAGUGCUAAGAUGCAGUUUAUGGCAGAUUAUGUAGUUUUGUCAUUUCUAUGAUUGUGUGUGCUUAGUGGAUGUGGUGGUGCUCUUACUUGCUCCAAUCCAUUCAUGUGGGAGUGGUACAUGUCUUGGCAACCUGGGAAUACCAGAUUUGUGCCAAUUGUGAGUGUGGUGUUGAUUCUUACACGUAGAGCUUCAUAUCUUGUUUCGUUGAUUCCCGUUGAACCGUAGCUCCGUUCACAAUGUUCUUUAUAUGUUUUUGCAUCGUUUUCACGAGACGCAUCUCUUCAUGCCAUUCUCAUGCAUGUCGAAAUAGCCUAGUGUAAAGUUCUGUCCAGAAACUUAUAGUAGUUCCUUUUGCUUGUGCUAGUGAUAGAAAUAGUGAUGCAUGCUCAUUUUUCAUCUCAUGCAUCAUGUGAUUGUUGCAUCUUGUAGUGCUGCUGUUCAUUGGCUGUUAUUCUUAUGUUGGGUAGCACCGGGAUCGGAGAACGAAUAUGUGGAGUCAGGAGAGUACGUGCAGGACAAUCCAGGACCAUUCCAAGCUGAGGAUAUCACAUGCAAGAUGAUAUGACCUUGAUUCCAUCUCUAGACUUGUUAUGCUAGUUUCGUUUACUUGUCAUAUUGCUCGCUGCCUACCACUGAAAUUAAAUUGCCUCUUCAUAUGCCAUGAGCCCAAACACUGUUCCCCUUCCUAGCAAAACUUGUAUGGCUAAGUAGGCUUUGCUCAGCUACUAAUGUUAGCGUUGCUAGAUGCAGGUGCUUUGACUCAUGUGAUAACAUGAGCUUUGAUAUCAUUAUCUUAAAUUCCGUUAAUUAAUGAAUGCACCUAUAUACUUGGUAAAUGACGGGAGGCCUAGCCUUUUGCCGGGUGCUUUGUUCCGUUAUUGCCGCCUUAGUUACCGGUUACCGGUGUUUGAUUCCAUAAUGAUCGCUCCUAACACGUUCGGGGUUGUUAUGGGGACCCCCUUGAUAAAUCGCGUAGUGCUAAGGCUUGUCCGGCAGGACCCAACAUUGGUUUUAAUCUGCUCACAUAAUAAUCUGCAUAGGGAAUAGCUACCCCGAGGAAUUUAAUCAACAACCCCGGCCAGUGCUCCUCAUGAGUGUUGGCCCCACCUGAGCGAUGUCCGGGGCCCCACUCGUCACCCAGAGGUUUAGCCAUCCCUUCGCCUAGCUCAUCCGUCGUGUCCUGAGACUGAGAUACGUGGCUCUUAUCAGGGCCAUCGACACGACGGGAGGUCCUGCUAGCCUUGUCUUACCUUAGCGGUAUAUCUUGCGUAUAGGAAUCCCAGUGAAGCUUUGGUUUCCCCAAGAGUUGAGGUUUUCCUCUAAGGAAUCCGACGAGAUCACGAGAUUCGUGAUAGAGGAUGCCUUUGCGGCCUGUGUUCGUUUAUGAUGGACUAGUUGGAGCACCCCUGCAGGGUUUAAUCUUUCAGAAAGCCGUGCCCACGGUUAUGUGGCAACUUGGAAUAUUUUGUUAACAUCCGGUAUUAGAGAACUUGAACAUAAGCUAAUAAAAUUGCCAACUGUGUGCGUAUCCGUGUCUGUCCCCUCGAAGAUCCCUCUUCGAUCGGGAACACGGUGGGGUUAUGAAUGCCGUAGGUAGGUGGUCAGGAUCACUUAGUGAUCAAGUAUUCCCGACCGCUAGUGUAGACCACCUUCACAAUUACUUCGCGUAAGUUAGCCACUUAAUCAAGCUUAGGAUGCUGCAGCCUUAUACACUUCACCCUUACCCUACCUAAUAACAUGACUAGUUCUGGCACCAAGGUCUUAGAUUGCUGAGUCCCCGUGGCUCACGGAUUCCUCCGAAACUCCCAGCAGGUACAGGUACCCCAGAGACAGAUGAUCCCGACGGCACCCAGCUGGCGUGGCAAUACGACGAGGAGACAGACCGCCUCUAGGUGAGCUAUCCAGAGGACUGAGGCGUGGUCGUGAUCGUGGGCCUGCACGCAGGGUAGCAUAGCAUUUCCAUGUUUUGUAGUCCGUAGCGGAACUACCUUGAUUGUAUCUGUGAUGUACUCUGAGUUAUUAAUAAGAAGACAGUUGAAUCCCGAAUUGUCUACUUUUAUUGUUAUUUGUGCUAUGUUACUUGCUUGCGAAACGCUUAGAUGCGCUUCUUUCCUAUUCGGGGGCCUCGACCCCAAGAUCGGAAAGGACCGCAUCUUGGUCGUUACACCGUGUUAUAGUUGUUGCAUGAUGAAUAUCAUCCAAACAAAUCACCGACCCAUUGCCUACGAGUUUGUUCUAUUGCUGCUACUACUGUUGCUACUGUUGUUACUUGUCUUGCUCUACUGCUGCUACUACUCUUGCUACUGCUGUUACUUGUCUUGCUCUGCUGCUACUGUUGCUACUACUGUCGCUUGCUACUGUUGCUAUUUGCUACUGCUCUCACUACCACUGUUCCUUGCCACUGCUGUUACUCGCUACUUUUCUGUUACUACUUUGGUUGCAGAUACUAAUCUUUUAGGUGUGGUUGAAUCUGAUAAAUUCAGCUGCUAAUACUUGAGAGUAUUCUUCCACCUCCCGUCAUGCGAAUCAACAAAUUUGGGUCAAAUACUCUACCCUCGAAAACUGCUACGAUCCCACGUGCUGGUGGGCGUCAACAACAUUCUCCUAGUUUCGAUUGCCGGAGAGUGCUAACAACAUUCUUCUGGUGCCGUUGCAAUGGGGAAGAACAGUUGACAUCAAGCAUUUUUCUGGCGCCGUUGCCGGGGAGGUAUUGCUAUAUUCUCUAAGUGACUUGGGAUUUAUAUCUGCUGAUCACUAUGAAGAAUCUGAAGGAUCCGAAGACCAAAGUCUUGCCCUCAACUACGAGGGGAGGUAAGGAAUUGCCAUCUAGCUCUGCACUUGAUUCACCUUCAGUUAUGAGUAAGUUUGCGACAUCACCUCCUGCUAGAAAUCUUGAUAUGUCGCAUGUGCUUGAUGAUGCUUGUGAUACUACUGCUAGAGAUGCUAUGCUUGAUACUAUGCCUGAUGCUAUGCCUGAUACUGCUAGAGAUGCUAUGCUUGAUACUGCUUUGCCUGAUGAUGCUAGAGAUGCUAUUUUGCCUGAUGAUGCUAUGCUUGAUACUGCUAGAGAUACCACUUUGCCUGAUGUUCCACUAGGGGUAUUCCUUGAUGCUCAUAUUGCUAGAGUUACUGCCAAUGCUCGUGAUGCUUGUGAUACUACCGAUACUAUUGAGAUAGAACCUGCUUUUGCUCCUGCUAGAUCUAGCUCUCCUAGAUAUGAAUUGCCUGAUAUACCUGAGGGUUACGUUAUGGAGGGAGAGAUAGCUGAGGAAUUUCUUGCGUGUAAGGAUGCCUAUGACGCUGAGAAAUUACUUCUCAAGUGGAAGGAAAAAUCUCGGGAAGCUAAGAUGAAAUAUGACCCGAAGUUUGCCACUUCACCUAUCUUUAUCACUGAUAAGGAUUAUGAAUUCUCUGCCGACCCUGAGAUAAUCUCUCUAGUCAAAUCUGAUCCUUUUCACUGUUAUGAGUCUGAGACGGUCGUAGCCCAUCUUGCCAAAAUACACGAUAUAGCCACCCUUUUCACUAAUGAGAAGAAGAUCCGCCACUACUAUAUCCUUAAGCUGUUUCCUUUCUCUCUAAAGGAUGAUGCUAAAGUAUGGUUCACCUCUCUUGCUCCUGGAUGUGUGAGUAGUCCACAAGAGAUGGUCUAUUACUUCUGUGAGAAAUAUUUCCCUGCCCAUAAGAAGCAAGCUGCCUUGCAGGAAAUAUACAACUUUGCUCAACUCCAAGAAGAGAGUCUUCCACAAGCUUGGGGGAGGUUCAUCCAGCUACAGAAUGCUUUGCCUGAUCACCCUCUUAAGAAGAACGAGAUACUUGAUAUCCUCUAUAACGGACUUACCGAUGCCUCUAGAGACCACCUAGAUAGUUGUGCCGGUUGUGUUUUUAGGGAACGAACUGUAGAACAAGCUGAGACUCUACUGAAUAACAUCUUGAUCAACGAUAAUGCUUGGACUAUUCCCAGACCACCUCCUAAGCCAUCUCCUAAGAAAAGAGGUAUUCUAUUCCUCAGUCCCGAAGAUAUGCAGGAAGCCAAGAAAUCUAUGCAAGAGAAAGGCAUUAGAUCUGAAGAUGUAAGAAAUCUACCACCUAUCGAAGAGAUCCAUGAUCUCGAUAACCCGAUACAGGUAGUAGAAGUAAAUUCUCUGUGUAGGUUUGAUGAGAGUGAUAUUCCUUUUGAUAAACCUGCUAGCCUAUGCUUUGAUGAAUUUGACAACUUUGUUGCCAAACAACAGAGUUUCAAUGAUUAUGUUAGCAGACAUUUGGAACAAAGUACUCGUAUGCUUAGCCAUUUAAGUGCUUGUGUAGACAGUAAUGUCAACGAUCUGAAGCUUCUGAGUAAACAUGCCUCUAUGAUUACUACUCAGGUAGAACAAGUACUUAAAGCUCAGAAUGACCUGCUAAAUGAAUUAAAUGACAACUCUAUCAGAGUCAUUACUAGAGGAGGCAAAAUGACUCAGGAACCUUUGUAUCCUGAAGGUCAUCCUAAGAGAAUUGAUCAAGAUUCUCAAGGAAUCAAUGCUGAUACACCCAGUCAUCCUAAGGAGAAGAAGAAGGAUGAUAGAAACCUGCACGCCAGUUCACCAAAUACUGUCACACAUGAAGAACCUAAUGAUAUUUCUGCGUCUGAUGCAGAAACACAAUCUGGUGAUGAACAUGAACCUGGUGACAAUAUGGACAGUGAUGUUCAUAAUAAUGCUCAACCUAGCAAUGAUGAGGAUGUGGAGAUUGAACCUACGGUUAAUCCUGAUAACCCACAACCUAAGAAAUACGAUAAGAAUGACUUCACUGCUAGGAAGCAUCGUAAAGAAAGGGAGCCAUGGGUUCAGAGACCUAUGCCCUUUUCUCCUAAGCCAUCCAAGAAAACGGAUGAUGAGGAUUUUGAGCGCUUCGUUGAGAUGAUAAGAGCCAUCUUUCUGCAGAUGCGGUUAACUGAUAUGCUCAAGAUGUCUCCGUAUGCCAAGUACAUGAAAUAUAUCGUGACUAAUAAACGGAAGAUACCAGAUCUUGAGAUCUCCACCAUGCUUGCCAAUUACAGUUUUAAAGGUGGAACUCCUAAGAAACUUGGUGAUCCCGGAGUGCCCACUAUACCUUGCUCUAUUAAAGGAACCUACGUAAGAACUGCCUUAUGUGACCUUGGAGCCGGUGUUAGUGUUAUGCCGCUUUCUCUUUAUCGUAGACUUGAAUUGGAUAAGUUGACACCCACUGAAAUUUCUCUGCAAAUGGCCGACAAAUCAACUGCUUUCCCUAUCGGCAUUUGCGAGGAUGUGCCUGUUGUGGUUGCUAACACCACUAUCUUAACAUACUUUGUAUCUUGGAUAUUCCCGAGGACGAUGCCAUGGCUGUCAUCCUCGGAAGACCCUUUUUAAACACGGCAGGGGCUGUUAAAGAUUGCAACAAAGGCAAUGUCACUUUCCACGUCAACGGUAAUGAGCACAUAGUGCACUUUCCGAAGAAACGAUAUCAAGUACAUUGCAUCAAUGCUAUCGAAAAGACUUCAUCGAUUCUUAUUGGGAGCUUUGAAUGCCCUAUUCCUCGUGUCAAGAUGAAGUAUGAUUUGCUUGUUGGGGAGAUACAUAUCCCCAUUGAGGUGACUUAGUGGCUAUUCGAAAAUUCUCCGUCCUCUCUUGCGAUUCGAGAAGGUUUUGUCAUAAGGACUUGAUCAAUCCCAUUGACGGAUUUCUUUUGAUGACCAUGAAACGGAUGAAUCAAAGAGUCACAUACCUCUGUUUUAAAGCUUUCAUUUUCUGUUGCUUAGAAGAAAAAUGAUAGAAUUAGUCUAGCUUUUCCUGUUUUCUGUUUUAGCGUCCCGGAGAAAAAUACCUUGAAAAUAAAAGUUCUUCGAUGGUCCUGAAAAUUUAGUACGAUUUUUUCUGGAAUUUUUGAAAAUUUAUGGACCUGAGAGCUGGCCUGGGGGCCAGACCAGUGGGCCACAAGCCCUGCCACCGCCACCUACCCCCCUGGUGGCGGAGUGCAAGAUUGUGGGGCCUACAGGCACCCCCCUCCACUCAUUCCAGCUCUCAGCUUCUUCUUCCACCUCCAGAAAAAAUUGUUUCACAGCUCAAACCCGUGUUCUUGGUCAUUUGGUUGUGAUUUUCGAUCUCCUUGCUCAAAGCACCAUUCUCCGAACCGUUUUGGGGAAAUUGCUCCUUGGUAAGCGACUCCUCCAUUGGUCCCAUUAGUUUUUGCUCUAGUGCUUUAUCCUUCGUGUACUCUUGCUACCUUGGUGACCCUGUUCUUGAGCUAGAAAUGUUGAUUUUAGCUGGUUCCAAGUAGUUUUAGCGCGUGAUACGGUCUCUAGGCACUAGUAGGAGUAGUUGCUACAAGUUGGGUUAAUCUUUAUUCACUUUUCUUUCGAAGUCUCUAAAAAUUUCAGAAUUUUUCAGAGCUAGAAAAAGGAAAAGAUGAGGAGGUUCUUGAGAGCCUCCUCAAGCCAUAACCCCAAGGAGGAUGAGAAGAACCACCCCAAGUACGUAGUCCCUCGAGUCACAGAAGUUCGAGCGUGCGAGUGGCCAAGUGAUGAAUUUUUGUGCGUCGCCGGACUUUAUGAAGACUUUUAUUACUUGGUGGAUAACGCAGGUCUUACUGCGUUCGUUGAAGAUAAGUGCUCACAAUACCUCCUCCUCACCAAUAUUUUCGUUCAAAGCUUCAACUUUUAUCCGAGGAAGAAUCCUCCCAUGGUUGAGUUCAUGAUAUACGAUGUCCCCUAGUGCAUGACACUGCAGGAUUUUUGCAAUGUGUGCAAAUGACCUUAUGUUGGGGAUAUCCGUGACCCUCGUCCACAGGACUUGGAGGAUUUCAUUGGUUCUAUUGCUGUCGGAGAGGAGAGAGGAGUGUCUCGCGCUAGAAUUGCUAGCAUACAUUUUCCUGUGCUUCAGUACUUCUCACUAUUUGUGGGAAAAUGUUUGAUUGGCCGUGGGGAGGCUGGGUCACUUAGUUCUCCACACCUUGCGGUUUUGCGCGAAGGCCUUUAUAACGAUAACACUUAUAGUUUGGGCGCUAUAGUAGCUCAACGGUUGAACCUGAACCAUUCUAAAGGUGUAGUAUAUGGAGGUAUCUAUGCUACCCGUCUUGCUAGACACUUUGAGAUACGCAUUAGACUGGGAGAGGAAGGAGAGAUGUUUCUCCAUGAGAAAUAUCUGGAUUAUGACAGCAUGGUUCGCCAUGAUUUUCUGGAUAGAGAUGCUAGUAGACGGAUGAUUUAUAACCUGGUGUUUAGUCAGGGUACUCGAGAGACUAUUACUUUGCCUGCUCGUUCUUUGUUCGAUCUUCAUGCAGGCAGGUACACUAUUAUGCCCUCGGACAUCUACGCAUAUUGGGGCUUGGCCCAACCACAGGCGCCCGAGCCCGAGCCGCCAGUCGACUACCAGACGCCAGUUUAUCAGUGGGAACCAGAGGAGCUCACACAGUAGUGGCAUCCACAGUCUGCUCCGGAGUAUCCUGGAGCUGGUUAUUUCCCACCUUGGGAGUAGACCAAGCUAGGCCAAAAGCCUAAGCUUGGGGGAGUAUGUGUUCUCACCGACUUUACAUUCAUGCUUAUGCUUUCACUUUGUUAGCCGGUGUUUACACUUUACCACUGUAUUAUCCAUGCUAGUUUAUUUUUCUUUUCUUGUUUUCCUGUUUUGUGUCCUUUUGAGAAAACCCAAAAAGAUUUUUCUUUCUUCUUUUGCUUGUUGGGAGUUUUCCCAUGUAAAUAGUUUUCUUUUUCUUUGGGUCAAGGUAGAAGAUAUUGGUUACAAUGUUUAUUGGUUCUUGCAUGGUUACCUGUUUAGCUUUCAAAAGAGCCAUAUUACUUUGUCUUCUCCUUUGGGUUUGCGUGCAGAUUCAGCUUAGUCCAAUGCGCUUAUUAUUGUUCACAUCGUUCGAUCGUGCAAAUGAAAGGCAACAAUGAUGAUAUAUGAUGAAGUGACUGAGACUGAAAACUGGUAUGAACUCUAUCUAUUUUCUUUUUGUAAAUAUGACUAGCUUGUCGACCCAGAUUUAGCUUUGUUGUGAGAGAACCAUGUUUGCAAUGACAACUUAGAGAUCAUAGUUUCUGAUGCCAUGCUUAUUUAGCUGAGAGCUUAUAAUGGUUUGUCUUGAAUGCCAACAUAGAUUUUGAGAUGACUAUGGUGUAGUAUGAUAGGAUGGUAUUCUCCUUUGAAUGUUUCAAGUGGCCUGACUUGGCGCAUGUUCAUGCAUGUAGUUGAAAAAAAUCAACAUAGCCUCUAUGAUGUUCGUGUUCAUGGUGAUUUAUAUCCUGUUCAUGCUUGCAUUCAAUGUUAGUCAAACUCAUUGCAUCUUGAUGACUGUUGUGGCUCUCUAGUUGGUCGCUUCUCAGUAUUUUGCUAGCCUUCACUUGUACUAAGCGGAAUACUGCUUGUGCAUCCACUUCCAUAAACCCAAAAGUUUUUCCAUGAGAGUCCACCAUACCUACCUAUUUGCGGUAUCUACCUGCCGUUCCAAGUAAAUUUGCAUGUGCCACUCUCUAAACCUUCAAGAAAUAAUCUGUUUUGCUUGCCCGAACCGCUCAUGUGGUGACAUGGGGCUAUUGGUAUCUUCCAUGCUAGGAGUGUUAUCCUCGACAUGUGUUUAUUCACUGUCAUUCACGAGAAAGGGGCCGGUAAUUGGAAUGCCCAGUUCCACGCUUAAAUCGAAAACAUAACUGUAAAACAAGACUCCCCCGGAUUGAUGUUAGUAUGGACGGUACCCGAGGAUUCGGCUAGCCGUGGAGUGUGAUUGAUUGGUGGUGGGGGAGUUAAAACUUUACUUUUCUGUUUGGGAACCGCCAUAGCAUGAGUAGCAUGGAAGAUAUUGAGAACUCUUGGUCAUUGCGUUGACAAUGAAAGCAUGCCACCCAAAAUUAUUAUCUCUGUUUUCAAAGCUUGAGCUCUGGCACCUCUGCAAAUCAAUACUUCCCUGUGCGAAGGGCAUGUCUAUUUAUUUUCCUAUGGAGUCAUCCUCCUCUUAUAUAAGCACCAAUUAGAGAGCACCUCUGUGAUUUUUAUGCUUUGCUUUUGAUUGAUAUUGAGUAUGACUAUGACUGGAUCUUCGUUGUUAUGAAUUACAAUGUUUAGUGAGCCCUUGAUCUUUGAAAGUUCUCUGCAUUUAUGUUUUGCGGUCUCAGAAAGAGCUAGCGAGAUACCAUCUAUUCAUAUUGCUUCAUGCUUGUUUUGAUUGAAGUGUUGGUAUUUGAAACUCAUUAUUAUUUGCUCGAUGGCUGAUUAUGCCAUUGAUAUUAGUUUACCGUGAGACCUUUGUGUCAUUUUCUUAUGUGGUUAACUUGUGAUCUUGCUGAAAUUCUGGUUAUGAGUUAGACAUAGUUGCAACAGCAAGAUCAAACAGAGUUUGUCAAAGUUUUCUUUCUCUCUCAGUUUGUCAACUGAGUUGUUUGAGGACAAGCAAGGUUUUAAUCUUGGAGGAGUUGAUACGUCUCCAUCGUAUCUACUUUUCCAAAUUCUUUUGCCCUUGUUUUGGACUCUAAUUUGCAUGAUUUGAAUGGAACUAACCUGGACUGACGCUGUUUUCAGCAGAAUUGCCUUGGUGUUAUUUUUGUGCAGAAAUCAAAGUUCUCCAAACGUCUUGAAAAUCUACGGGGAGCAGUUUUGGAAAAUAUAAAAAAUAUCUACGCCAAGUUCCACCUUAGGGGGUGGGCGAGUGGGCCACAAGCCCUGGCUCCGCCACCACCCCCCUGGUGGCGGUGGGCAGGCUUGUGGGGCCCACACGGCUCCGCCGCCCCCAACCUCAGGUCUAUAAGUUCACUUUCGUCCCAGAAAAAAUAAAAAGAGAGGUUUUCAUCGCGUUUGCGAUACGGAGGCGCCGCCACCACAUGUUCUUCAUCUGGAGGGCAGAUCUGGAGUCCGUCUGGGGCUCCGGAGAGGGGAAAUCGUCACCAUCGUCAUCAUCAACCUUCUUCCCUCUCCAAUUCCCUGAAGCUCUUCGUCGUUCGUGAGUAAUCUAUUCGUAGGCUUGCUGGGCGGUGAUGAGUAGGAUGAGAUCUAUCAUGUAAUCGAGUUAGUUUUGAUGGGGAUUGAUUCCUAGUAUCCACUGUGUUCUGAGAUUGAUGUUGCUACUAGUUUGCCAUGCUUAAUGCUUGUCACUAGGGCCCGAGUGCCAUGAUUUCAGAUCUGAAAUUAUUAUGUUGUCACCAAUAUAUGUGUGUUUCAGAUCCGAUCUUGCAAGUUGUAGUUACCUACUAUGUGUUAUGAUCUGGCAACCCCAGAGUGACAAUAACCGGAACCACUCCCGGUGAUGACCAUAGUUUGAGGAGUUCAUGUGUUCACCAAGUGCUAAUGCGUUGGUCCAGUUCUUUAUUAAAAGGAGAACCUUAAUAUCCCAUAGUUUCCUUUUGGACCCCGCUGCCACGGGAGGGAUGGACAAUAGAUGUCAUGCAAGUUCUUUUCCCUAAGCACGUAUGACGACACACAGAAUGCAUGCCUACAUCACAUUGACGAACGGGAGCUAGCCACAUAUCUCUCCGUGUUAUAGCUGUUGCAUGAUGAAUAUCAUCCAAACAAAUCACCGACCCAUUGCCUACGAGUUUGUCCUACUGCUGCUACUACUGUUGCUACUGCUGUUACUUGUCUUGCUCUGCUGCUGCUACUACUGUUGCUACUGCUGUUACUUGUCUUGCUCUGCUGCUACUGUUGCUACUACUGUCGCUAGCUACUGUUGCUACUUGCUACUGCUGUCACUACCGCUGUUCCUUGCCACUGCUGUUACUCGCUACUUUGCUGUUACUACUUUGCUUGCAGAUACUAAUCUUUCAGGUGUGGUUGAAUUUGAUAAAUUCAGCUGCUAAUACUUGAGAGCAUUCUCUCACCUCCCGUCGUGCGAAUCAACAAAUUUGGGUCGAAUACUCUACCCUCGAAAACUGCUAUGAUCCCACGCGCUGGUGGGCGUCAACAACAUUCUCCUAGUUUGGAUUGCCGGAGAGUGCUAACAACAUUGUUCUGAUGCCGUUGCAAAGGGGAAGAACAGUUGACAUCACCCCUCCCAACGGAACUGCGGAACCCAUUCGUCACUCCUGGUACUUUACCGUAAUGUCCGAAAACCUUUCGGAAGCCAAAUGGAUACUUCCUAUAUAUCAAUCUUCGUCUCCGGACCAUUCUGGAAACCCUCAUGACGUCUGGGGUCUCAUGCGGGACUCUAAAAAACAUUCGGUUACCAACAUCAAUAAUUCAACUAUACCGUAAACGUCACCGAACCUUAAGUGUGCAGACCCUGCGGGUUCGAGAACUAUGUAUACAUGACGUGAAACACUUCUCCGGUCAAUAACCAAUAGCGGGACCUGGAUGCCCAUAUUGGCUCCUACAUAUUCUAUGAAGAUCUUUAUCGUUUGAACCUCUAUUCCAAGGACUCAAUUAAUCUCAUAUGUUGUUCUCUUUGUCAAUCGGUAUGUUACUUGCCCGAGAUUCGCACGUCGGUAUCUCCAUACCUAGUUCAAUCUCGUUACCGACUGAUGACGAGAUGAUGCAUAUACUUCUCGCACCUCAUUGGUUACCCCAAGUGGAAGGUUGAGAUGUAGUCAGCAGCAAGUUUUCCCUCACACAGGGACUAUAAGUUUAUCGAACCAGGAGGACCCCUAGGAUCAGCAAGUAGGUGUAUUCCACCUUGUUGCUAGCAGAAGACGUGGACCUGUACACACACAAAUAACUUUGCUCGCAACGAGUACAGAGAGGUUGUCAAUCUCUCCGGCCUUGUACAUUGCAAAGGAUCAAAACACAAGCGAGAAGGUAAUAGUGAUUCAAUGGAAAAGUAAAUGAAAUCGGUAAAUGAUGGAGGUGUAAACAAAGAUGGUGAUAUGGACCGGAGUCACAUGAUGUUCACUAGUGAUGUCUCUCUCCCAAAAGACGACAAACAACUAUGCUUGGGUAAACAAAUCACAAUUGGGCAAUUGACAGAAUUAUGAACGCACCUCAAUGCUAAUUAUGCUACUUGAUAGUUAGAGGUUCAAUAGUAAUGGGCAGUACGCCAAGACAAGUAGACCGUUUAUUCAUCAUCAUCUACUUACUAAUCAUCCACCUUGAGAUAUCUAGCGAGAACAUCUCACCGGUAUUAAGUUGCGAGCCCCACCCAAAGUGUAAACUCAAAUCAACGGGCAACUGCAUUAACGAACUAUGCGUAAGGUAAACAAUCCUUGCAACCGUGGUCACAAGCACCAUUGUUUCCUCCCUGGUGGCAACAUCACAUCCCCUAGUCUCAUGUUUCUUUCACUCAAGCUAGACAUCGAGGGGCAUGAACCCACAAUCAUGCAUAACGCUCCCUCUUGGAGUUACAAUCUACUACUCGACCAAAACAAUAAAUAGCAACGGAGAACAUGCAUGAAUCACUAAGGAACAUAAUGUAAAAGGAUAAUCAAAUAUAUAACUCAUAACAAUCUGAACAUAAUCUCAUAAUCCAUCGGAUCCCAACAAACCGAGCAUAGCAAUAGCAAGAGAAUUACAUAGAUGCCUUGAUCAUGUAGGACAGCUCACAAGGACUAACCAUUGAAGCACAAGAUUGGAGAGAAGACAUCACAUAGCUACUGGUCAUGGACCCAUGGUCGAAAGAGGACUACUCACGGCAUGUCCGGGAAGCAUCCAUGGCGGUGGAGAAGCUCCCGGAGGUCAAUCCUCCCUCCGACAGGGUGCCGGGAAGAGGUCUCCUCAUGCUCCCGAUCUCGGAAGCGCCGCGGCGGCGGAACGAUGGAGAAAUUCGCGAUUCUAGAAGUUGUGGAAGGGUUUCCUCU
rnacentral:lncRNA from 1 species